rnacentral:lncRNA from 1 species
CACCGCCACCUCCUCCCAGGCCCUCGUCAUGGGAGUGGCGCCCUCCAAGGGCAACGGGCCCUCGUUCGAGGCCGCCGCCGCCGAGAACGGCGGGUGCAAGUGCGGCCCCAACUGCACCUGCAACCCGUGCACCUGCAAGUGAUCAGUCGAAUCAACACAUGGAGACGGCAUGGAUGGAUGGACGGACCUGACGAAGGAGCACUACAGUACGAGUAGUAGUAGCCAUCCAUGAAUCGCGAGUGUGUGUUUCGUUUUUAAUUGCCACCUACUAGAAUAAGACGGGAUCUAUCGUAUCGUAAUCGUAUCGAGCUAGUCAACGGAUUAUGUGUACGUACCCCUUGUGGCUUGUACGGUGUUUUGUGUUGUGUUGUCAUGUGCUUCUCCUACCGCUUUAGUUCCGUCCUCGUGUGCCUUCCCCGUCUUAUCUACAUAUAUAUACUCCUGUGUAUGUAGACAAUAAUAAUUUGGAGUUUCUGUCUUUUUCUUUUUUAUCUCGUAAUAUGUGUCUUGUUUCUAUCAUAAAGAUCAAAGUAUAAAUCACAUAAGAAAACAUAUCUGCGUUUGACACCAAACGUCCAUCACCAAUGACACCAUCAUAGCAGUUAUCAAAGGAAAAAAUAACGAAUCACUUGACGCGGCUUCAUUAUUAAUAUAUAGCUUUGUGAACUUUAAGACCUUUAAGGUGGCUCACAGAAACUGCAGAUCUAGUACAACGUCAAAGGAAAAACACCGUACCUGCCAUCCACAAACCCCACAACACGGCCCGUCGUUCGAGGCCGCCGCCGAGAACGAAGGGUGCAAGUGCGGCCCCAACUGCACCUGCAAGUGAUCAAUCAAAUCAAGACAAUGAUAUGGCAUGGAAAAACAAAAAAUUGACAAAAUUAACCUAUAGAGCAAAAGAACUCACAAAGGGAAUGCAAAUGGAAAAAAAAUCACCCCGGCUCACCCUUUCGUGUGGCGUCCGGUGUCACACUAUAUGUAUGACGCCUAAGACGUCGGCGCCACAUGCCUGGCCACGCUGGCGCAACUGUCCCCACCCCCAGGCAGUGCGACGCCUAAGCCUCAUGCUACAGUAUGGCGCCGAGCGCUUAGACGCCAUACUGUGACUUAUCCAGCCACGGGCCAGCCCCCUCUCCAUCCCCUCCUCAUUCCUCUCCCUUCACUUCACCUCAUAGCUUGUGUUCAAGUCUUCCCUUUCUCAAAUCCCUCUCCAAAUCAGCAGAUCUGAAGGUUUGGACCGGACAUUUGUUGUCCAAUCCCUCCCUAAGGUGAUCCCCCGAUCCCCUCCUCAUCCAAGCAAAAAUCUCUUUUGGUCACUUUGUUGCAAAUUUAAGAAAACCCUAGUUUUUUCAUGAAAUAUGGGAUGUAUAUGAUAUUGUUGUAUUUGUUUGUAUUUUAGGAUAAGGGGUAUGAUGGGUUAGGAUUAGGGUUGUUUGGAUGUUUGCAUUAUGGUUGUGUUAGGGUUAGGCUAGGGUUAGGAUUAAGAUUGUUUGGAUGUUUGCAUUAUGGUUGUGUUAGGGUUAGGCUAGGGUUAGGGUUAUGGAUGUUUGGAAGUUAUGAAUAAGGUUUAUUUUUAUUAAGUAGAUAUUGUAGUAUUUGGAUGAUUGCUUAUAGAAAAUAUUGUAUGUUGUGUUGUUUAGGGAUGGGAAGAACAUGUGUUUAUGUUCAUCACGUGGACAAAGAUGCCUUUUUAAAAGGCAAUAUGAUCCGGACCCGGAUGAGCUUGACAUGGUGUUCGAUUUCUGUCCUAGCUGUGCUGAAUGUUGGAACAAGUCCGAAAGGAUUUGAAUUGGGUGGACCCUAGUGAUGUAGUUGAGUUUGAUGGUAGGCAUAAUGCGGGAUUUGGAAUGCACAUUCGUUGGAAGACCAUGCGUGUCAACUCCGAGCAACGUUGGCUUGCAUACAAGGAUACGGUGGCCGAAUCACUAGACAAGGCUCUAGAGUUAUUUGCCAUCAAAACAAAUGUUCCUAACUUGCAGUUGGAUUUGAACCGGGUUGCCUCUUCGAUUGGUGAAGCUAGUCCUCCACGCAUCAACGAAGAGGCCAACAUUGAACCUCUUUCAGCACAACAAUCUUGUAUCCAACAUGAACCAUUGCUAGAGGAUAAUGAUGAGCACGAUGAUGAUGAGAAUGAUGGUACUGCUCUUCAUGACAACAACCUUGGUGAUUUGGACAAAUAUAAUUUGCAAGAGACAAUGGACCAUUCUAUUCCGUACUCACGUGGCUAUGCAUCCGAGUCGGACGAUGAGGGUCCCGACGAAGAAGUUGAUGAGGAAGGGUUCACGACAAAGGAGGUUGAAGCUUUCACGAAGGUAUUAGGGCGGGAUCACCAGACACCAUUGUUCGAGGAUCUUAGCCUUGCGGAUGAAGCCGUGGUUGACGGAGGCGAAGGCAUAUUGUUUGGAGUUAGGCCACCUUCUCACCGGGACAAACAUGGGAAGAAUAUUAUUUUGCCGGGAUCAAAGUUCCAAACAUUCCUUGAACUGAAGAUGUGGUUGGAUGAAUAUUCUGUUACACAUUAUAGGCCACACAAAGUUGUUCAUUCAAACAUGAAGCUGCGUUACACGGUUGCAUGUGAGGAUUCAGGGUGUCCUUGGAUUGUCCGUGCAAGACCAUGGAAAGGAGGGCCAGGAUGGAAAAUUAUCAGUUGUAUGCCUCACACGUGUCGAGGCAAGAGGUUUGAUGGCAAGCUUUCGUUGCAAAACCAUAGACAACUCACUUCCGAGUUCAUUGCUUAUAAGCUUUCCAACUCCAUCUCCUCUCUUCCUACAAUGAGCAUAAAAAGCGUACAAGACCUUGUGAAGGCCCUCUUUCACUACAAGGUGAAAUACGGGAAGGCAUGGAAAGCGAAGCAAGCCGCAUUCAAGAUGUUGUAUGGUGAUUGGGAGCAAGCAUACAACCGACUACCUAGGUUGUUGGGAGCUAUUGCCGCCACUAACCCAGGCAUGGUUCAUGUGGUCGAGCCGUAUGGGGAGAAAACAAGGAUUCACAAUGGAAAGAGGGUCCGCGUAUUUGUCCGUGCAUUUUGGGCAUUUGAGCAAUGUGUGAGGGCUUUUCAACACCGUCGGCCGGUCAUCUCCAUCGAUGGCACGUUUUUGACCCGACAAUUCAAGGGCACUUUGUUGGUUGCAAUAGCAAGUGAUGCCAAUAACCGGUUGAUGCCUUUGGCUUUUGCUUUGGUUGAGGCAGAGAACAAUGUUAACUGGGAAUGAUUCUUGCAUAUUUUGAGAACCAAAGUAUAACCGUUUGAAAGGGAAAUCUGUGUCAUAUCGGAUCGCCAUCAAGGAAUACUUAACGCGGUUGACAUUGUCAUUUCCGGCCAUGCUCCUUUGCAUCAUCGAUGGUGCAUGACGCAUUUCUGUGCAAACUUCUACCGGGUAUGUGGUAGCAAGGAGUUGGCGGAUGAUCUUCAAGAUUGUUGUCAAGCAUUUUCAGACAAACGAUUUGCAAGAUUGUACAAUGCUUUGGUUGCAAACAAAAAACUUGAUGCAGGUGGGCUUGAGUUUCUCAACAGGCACAUUCAACUUCGGCCCAAGUGGGCACGAGCUUAUGACGAAGAUGGUCGAAGAUAUGGUCAAAUGACAAGUAACAUGGCAGAAUGCUUCAACCGGGUGCUGAAGGGUGUCUGUGAGUUGCCGGUGACGGCAAUAGUUCAAUACGCAUUCGACAAGUUGAGAGCAUACUUUCUAAAGUACUCGCAAGAAACGGAUGAUCAAAUUGCGGGAGAGAACAAGAAAAAGUACAAGUACCAGGUCCUACCAAAGGUUGACAAAUGGAUGGUAUUUCAAUCAUGGAAGGCUGACUCCCAAACGGCUACGUUGUACAAUAACGAGGAUUGGACAUACCAAGUGAAUGAGCCUGGAGGAACGACAAACGAUGGCGAGCAACAUGGAAACAGGGCGUUCAAGGUAUCUUUAUCGUUGUGUGAUUGCUCUUGUGGGAGGCCAAGGUUGCUUCAUCUCGCAUGCUCACAUUUGUACACGACAGCUCGCACUAGGAAUGUGGACGUCAACCAUCCACUAACUAUGAGGGAGUCCGAGUUCUCGAUCAUGACCACGAAGCAUACAUGGGCUCCUAGAUUUGAACCAUACUUUGACCAAUCACAAUGGCUGGAGUAUCAUGGAGUACAACUAUGGCCCGACCUGGAGUGGAAGGCUGUGAAACGGGGAAGACGAAAGACAAAGCGUUUUAGAGGAGACAUGGAUGGAUGGGGCCAUGGUGGUGGCAGAGAAAUGGGGAACAAUCAAUUCCAAGAGCCUACUGAGAGAUCACAUUGUGGAGAGUGCGGUGUAACAGGGCACAACACAAGAAGGUAUAUGAAGCCAAAGAAGAAAUCGAAAAACAAUGAUUCAAGGUUAAGCCAACCAAGUCCUAGCCAACAUGGUCAUAGCCAAGCAAGUACAAGCCAACAAGGUCCUAGUCAAGCAAGUACAAGCCAACAAGUUCCUACUCAACAUGUUCCUAGCCGACUUGGGCUUACUAGAGGACGUGGUGGUGGUGGUGCUAGAGGCAGGGGUGGGAUAGGUCGAGGUGGUGCUAGAGGCAGGGGUGGGAUAGGUGGUGGUGGUGCUAGAGGCAGGGGUGGGAUAGGUGGUGGACUUAGUAGGAUUGGUAUGCGUGGAUACCUAGGGGGACCAUUUUCGUAUGUCACAUAUUUGACUUAUCUUUAUCAUGUUGUUUUUCAUGCUCCUUUGUAUGUUAUUGUACUAACUCUGAGCCUUGAUGUGUUUAUGUAGGUAUGGCGGCAUCUCAACCAAACAAGGCAACAACGGAGUGGGGGGAGGAGAAGGAUGCAGUUGGUGAGGACCAGGGGUUGAGGGAGAGGGCUGCAAAGAAGUUGAGAGAGGAGGACAUACCAAUAAGGGCAUCCAUUUGGUGCCGCCAUCCCUCAGAAUCAGUGCUCAUACAAAGAGGCUUCCCCUCGAUCGGAAGUGCGGUGAUCAUGGAAACAUCUUGAAGAGUCACUGUCAUCUCUCCGGUCCGGAGGUGAAAACUAUGGGUCUCCAGCCUCCACCAAUCAAUAAGUGCAGUGAUUGCCGCAACGUUCAGGUUGGGUGUUGACCGACUCACAAACUGAAUGAAUGGAAGGAGUCCUGUCAUCUCGAUAUAUGGUGUGUACCGCUCAUCGUACUGCAUUACAGUCGAUGCCCCGUGAGACCGAAUCUUCAAGGGCACAAGCUUCUGCAAACAAAUAGGAGUGAUAUGAUUACAGUUUCAUUUUAUUAAAUAAAUACAUGAUUUUUUUAACAUAUGAUCUACUUACCAUUUCCUUCUCCGACAUCAAAUAGGCCCGGUGUUCAACGUCAUAGGCAUCAUUGAAAAGCCACACCAUCCUACAUAUCACAAAAAAUACACUUAUGAAUCUACUUAUGAAUCCUACAUAUCAUUCAACUUAUGAAUCCUACAUAUGAAUCCUACAUAUCACAAAAGCCACACCACACCAUCCAAAAGGCAUCAUUCAUCUUAUGAAUCCUACAUAUCACAAAAAAUACACUUUAAAAAAAAUACAUGCAACUAACUCCUCAUCUACAUAGAGCUAACUCCUCAUCUACUUAUGAAUCUACAUAGGACUAACUCCUCAUCUACAUAGGACUAACUCCUCAUGAUCAUACAUAGGACUAACUCCUCAAAUUCAAUCAAAAUAUGGCUCUCAACCUAACUAACCCAAAUCUGAAAAAUACACAAUGCUAUUCGGAUAGAUAGAUGGGAAACGGAAGAGAGUACCUCGUACACAAGUUUGGGGGAUCAAUCCACAGAAGAAAUCACCAGAUCUGAAGCAUUUAGAAGAGGGGAUUCAGAUGAGGAGAAGAGGCAGCCGCCUGAUACGUCUCGGUCGUAUCUACUUUUCCAAACUCUUUUGCCCUUGUUUUGGACUCUAAUUUGCAUGAUUUGAAUGGAACCAACCCGGACUAACGUUGUUUUCAGCAGAAUUGCCAUGGUGUUGUUUUUGCGCAGAAAUAAAAGUUCUCAGAAUGACCUGAAAAUUUACGGAGAAUUUUUGUGGAAUAUAUAAAAAAUACUGCCGCAAGAAUCAACAGAGGAAGUGGAGCGUGGAGCCCAGAAGCCCACCAGGCGCUGCCCCCCCUGACCGCGCCUGGCAGGCUUGUGGGGCCCACAAAACUCCACCACCUCCAAAUCCAGCUCUAUUUAGUCCAUUUCGCCCGAAAAAAUCAAGGAGAAGAGUUCAUCGCGUUUUACGAUACGAAUGCGCCGCCACCUCCUGUUCUUCAUCUGGAGGGCAGAUCUGGAGUCCGUUCUGGGCUCCGGAGAGGGGAGAUCGUCGCCGUCGUCAUCACCAACCUUCCUUCAUCGCCAAUUCCAUGACGCUCUUCACCGUUCGUGACUAAUCUCAUCGUAGGCUUGCUGGACAGUGAUGGGUUGGAUGAGAUCUAUCAUGUAAUCGAGUUAGUUUUGACGGGGAUUGAUCCUAGUAUCCACUAUGUUCUGAGAUUGAUGUUGCUACUACUUUGCCAUGCUUAAUGCUUGUCACUAGGGCCCGAGUGCCAUGAUUUCAGAUCUGAACCUAUUAUGUUGUCGCCAAUAUAUGUGUGUUCUUGAUCCUAUCUUGCAAGUUGUAGUCACCUACUAUGUGUUAUGACCCGACAACCCCGGAGUGACAAUAGCCGGAACCACUCCCGGAGAUGACCAUAGUAUGAGGAGUUCAUGUAUUCACCAAGUGUUAAUGCGUUGGUCCGGUUCUUUAUUAAAAGGAGAACCUUAAUAUCCCGUAGUUUUCAUUAGGACCCCGCUGCCACGGGGGGGAUGGACAAUAGAUGUCAUGCAAGUUCUUUUCCCUAAGCACGUAUGACUACAUACGGAAUACAUGCCUACAUUACAUUGACGAACUGGAGCUAGUUACAUAUCUCUUCGUGUUAUAACUGUUGCAUGAUGAAUAGCAUCCGGCAUAAUCAUCCAUCACCGAUCCAAUGCCUACGAGUCUUUUACUACUGGUCCUUGCUACGUUACUUUGCUGCUACUGCUGUCACUACUGCUACGUUACUCUGUUGCUACUGCUGUUACUUUGCUGCUACUGCUGUCACUUUGCUGCUACUGGUUACUGUUGCUACUGUCCUAUCAUACUACCUUGCUGCUGAUACUUUGCUGCAGAUACUAAAUGUUUCAGGUGUGGUUGAAUUGACAACUCAACUGCUAAUACUUGAGAAUAUUCUUUGGCUUCCCCUUGAGUCGAAUCAAUAAAUUUGGGUUGAAUACUCUACCCUUGAAAACUGUUGCGAUCCCCUAUACUUGUGGGUUAUCAAGACUAUUUUCUGGCGCCGUUGCCGGGGAGGCACAACUAUAUUCUCCGAGUCACUUGGGAUUUACGUCUGCCGGUCACUAUGAGGAAUCCGAUAGAUCCAAGAACUAAAGUCUUGCCCUCAACUACGAGGACAAGCAAGGAACUGCCAUCUAGCUCUGCACUUGAUUCACCUUCCGUUAUGAGUAAGUUUGCGACACCACCUCCUGCUAGAAAUCUUGAUAUGUCGCCUGUGCUUGAUGAUGCUACUUCUGCUGCCCAUGAUGCUUAUGAUGAUGCUAUGCUUGAUACUGCUUUGCCACUAGGUGCCCUUGAUGCACAAAUUGCUAGAAUUGAUGCUAGAUGUGAUGAUACUUCUGAAACUGCUAAUACUAUUGAAGUAGAACCUGCUAUUUUGCCUGCUAGAACUAGCUCUCCUAGACAUGAAUUGCCUGAUAUGCCUGAGUGAUAUGUUAUGGAGGAAGAGAUAGCUGAGGACUUUCUUGCUUGUAAGGAUAGCUAUGAUGUUGAGAAAUUACUGCUCAAGUGGAAAGAAAAAUCUUUGAACGCUAGGAUGAAAUACGACCCGAAGUUUGCUACUUCGCCUAUCUUUGUGACCGAUAAAGAUUAUGAAUUCUCUGUCGACCUUGAGUUAAUCACUCUGGUCGAAUCUGAUCCUUUUCACGGUUAUGAGUCUGAAACGGUUGUAGCCCAUCUUACCAAACUGCACGAUAUAGUCACCCUAUUCAUUAGUGAGGAAAAGAUCCGCCACUACUAUAUCCUCAAGCUGUUUCCUUUCUCGCUAAAGGAUGAUGCUAAGACCUGGUUCACUUCUCUUGCUCCUGGUUGUGUGCGUAGCCCCCAGGAUAUGGUCCACUACUUCUCUGAAAAAUAUUUCCCUGCCCAUAAGAAGCAAGCUGCCUUGCAGGAAAUAUACAACUUUGCUCAAGCUCAAGAAGAGAGUCUCCCACAAGCGUGGGGGAGGCUCGUCUAGCUACUGAAUGCUUCUAGAGAAUGAAAUACUUGAUAUCUUCUAUAAUGGACUUACCGAUGCUUCUAGAGACCACCUAGAUAGUUGUGCUGGUUGUGUUUUUAGGGAACGAACUGUAGAACAAGCUGAGAUCCUAUUGAAUAACAUCUUGUGCAAUGAGAAUGCUUGGACUAUUCCCGAAGCACCUCCUAAGACAACUCCUAAGAAGAGAGGUAUUAUAUUCCUCAGUCCCAAAGAUAUGCAAGAAGCUAAGAAAUCUAUGAAAGAGAAAGGCAUUAAAUAUGAAGAUGUCAAAAAUCUACCACCUAUAGAAGAGAUCCAUGGUCUUGAUAAGCCGAUACAGGUAGUAGAAGUAAAUUCUCUACGUAGGUUUGAUGAGAGUGAUAUUCCUUUUGAUAAACCUGCUAGCCUAUGCCUGGAUGAAUUUGAUAACUUUGUUGCCAAACAACAGAGUCUCAAUGAUUAUGUUAGCAGACAAUUGGAACAAAAUGCUCGUAUGCUUAGUCAUUUAAGUGCUUGUGUGGACAGAAAUGUCAAUGAUCUUAAGCUUCUGAGUAGACAUGCCUCUAUGGUUACUACUCAGGUGGAACAAGUACUUAAGUCUCAGAAUGACUUGCUCAAUGAGUUGAAUGACAAUUCUGUCAGAGUCAUUACUAGAGGCGGUAGAAUGACUCAGGAACCUUUGUAUCCUGAGGGUCAUCCUAAGAGAAUUGAACAAGAUUCUCAAGGAGUUAGCACUGAUGCACCUAGUCAUCCUAGGAAGAAGAAGAAAGAUGAUAGGAACUUGCACGCUAGCAACCCAGAUGCUGUUACCCCUGAGAGUCCAAACGAUGCCUCUGUUUCUGAUACUGAAACACAAUCUGGUGAUGAACAUGAGCCUAAUGAUAAUAUCGAUAGUGAUGUUCAUGUGGAUGCUCAACCUAGCAAUGAUAAGGAUGUGGAGAUUGAACCUGUUGAUCUUGAUAACCCACAACCUAAGGCUAGGAGAUGCGAUAAGAAUGACUUCACUUCUAGGAAGCAUGGUAAAGAAAGGGAACCAUGGGUUCAGAAACCCAUGCACUUUCCUCCCAAACCAUCCAAGAAAAAGGAUGAUGAGGAUUUUGAGCGCUUUAUUGAAAUGAUUAGACCUGUCUUUCUGCAAAUGCGUUUGACAGAUAUGCUCAGAAUGUCUCCGUAUGCUAAGUACAUGAAAUAUAUUGUGACUAAUAAGAGGAGGAUACCUGAGGUUGAGAUUUCCACCAUGGUCGCUAAUUAUACCUUCAAGGGUGGAACUCCUAAGAAACUAGGUGAUCCCGGAGUGCCCACUAUACCUUGCUCCAUUAAAGGAAACUACGUUAGAACUGCUUUAUGCGACCUUGGAGCCGGUGUUAGUGUCAUGCCUCUCUCUCUUUAUCGUAGACUUGAACUGGAUAAGUUGACACCCAUUGAAAUCUCUCUGCAAAUGACCGACAAAUCAACUGCUUUUCCUAUCGGCAUUUGCGAGGAUGUGCCUGUUGUGGUUGCGAACGUUACUAUCUUAACACACUUUGUUAUCCUGGAUAUUCCCGAGGAUGAUGCCAUGGCGGUCAUUCUUGGAAGACCCUUUUUAAACACUGCAGGGGCUGUUAUAGAUUGCAACAAAGGCAAUGUCACUUUCCAUGUCAACGGUAAUGAGCAUACGGUGCACUUUCUGAAGAAACAAUAUCGAGUACAUUGCAUCAAUGCUAUCGAAAAAUCUUCAUCGAUUCUUAUUGGGAGCUUUGAAUGCCAUAUACCUCUUGUUAAGAUGAAGGAUGAUUUGAUUGUCGGGGAUAUACACAUCCCCAUUGAGGUGACCUAGUGACUAUUCAAAAAUUCUCUGUUCUCUUUUGCGAUUCGAAAAAGUUUGUCAAGGAGACUUGAUCAACCUCAUUGACAUAUUUCUUUUGCUGACCAUGAGAUGGAUGAAUCGAGGAGUCACAAACCUCUGUUCCAAGCUUUCACCUUCGGUUGCUUAGAAGAAAAAUGAUAGAUUUAGUUUAGUUUUCCCUGUUUCAUGUUUUAGCAUCCCGAAGAAAAGUACCCCAAAAUUAAAAGUUCUCCGAAUGCCGUGAAAAUCAAGUAUGAUUUUUUCUGGAAUUUUUGAAAAAUACUGAGACGAAGAGCUAGUCUGGGGGCUGCACCAGUGGGCCACAAGCCCUGGAGGUGCGAGCACCCCCUGGCCACGCCUACCAGGCUUGUGGGGCCCACGUGCACCCCCUCCACUCAUUCUAGCUCCCAUCUGCUUCCCCUACCUCCAGAAAAAAUCGUUUCGCAGCUCAAACCCGUGUUCUUGCUCUUCUUGCUGGGAUUUUCGAUCUCCUUGUGCAAAGCACCAUUCACCAAACUGUUUUGGGGAAAUUACUCCUUGGUAAGUGACUCCUCCAUUGGUCCAAUUAGUUUUUGCUCUAGUGCCUUAUACUUCGCGUAUUUUUGCUGCCUUGAUGACCAUGUUCUUGAGCUUUGCAUGCUAAUUUUAGCUGGUCCCAAGUAGUUUGGAUGCGUAAUAUGGUCUCUAGGCACUUGUGGGAGUAGUUGCUAUGAGUUUUGUUGAGCCUUGUUCACUUUUCCUUAGAAUCACUAAAACUUUCAGAAAUUUUCAAAGAUAGAAAAGGGAAAAGAUGAGGAGGUUCUUAAGAGGCUCUUCAAGCCGUGACCCCAAGGAUGAUGGAAGUGAGAAGAAGCCCAAGUAUCGGGUCCCUUGAGUUGCAGAAGUUCGAGCGUGCGAGUGGCCAAGCGAUGUGUUCUUACGCGCCGCCGGACUUUAUGAGGACUUUUAUUACUUGGUGGAGAACGCAGGCCUUACCGCCUUCGUUGAAGAUAAGUGUCCGCAAUACCUCCUAUGGUUGAGUUCAAAUUAUAUGAUAUCUUCGUACAAAGCUUUAACUUCUACCCUAGGAAGAAUCCUCCUAUGGUUGAGUUCAAAUUAUAUGAUAUCCCCCAGUGCAUGUGACUCCAGGAUUUUUGCAAUGUUUGCAAAUUGCCUUUUGUUGGGGAUAUUCAUGAACCUCGUCCACGAGACUUGGAAGCUUUCAUCGAUACUAUUGCUGUAGGAGAGGAGAGAGGAGUGUCUUGCGCUAGAGCUGUAGCAUACAUUUUCCCGUGCUUCGGUACUUCUCACUAUUUGUGCGAAAAUGUUUGAUUGACUGUGGGAAAGUUGGGUCCCUGAUACGUCUCAAACGUAUCUAUAAUUUUUGAUGGUUUCACGCUGUUAUCUUAUCAACUUUGGAUGUUUUGUAUACCUUUUAUAUCUUUUUUGGGACUAACUUAUUAAUCCAGUGCCAAGUGCGAGUUCCUGUUUUUUCUGUGUUUUUGACUCUUUUCAUAUCUGAUUUUGGAACGGAGUCCAAAUGGAAUAAAAUCCCCGAAAUAAUUUUUUCCAGAAAGGAAGAAGGUCAGAGGACGUGAGGGCCAACGCAGGGGGGCAACAGGGAGCCCACAAGCCCUGUUGCCGCGACCAGGGGGCCCCGCGGCAACCAGGCUUGUGGCCUCCCUGGUGCUCCCGUGACCUAGCUCUUUGGCCUAUAAAUUUCCUAAAAAUCCAGAAAAAAUAAGGGCAUCCACGAAAACACUUUUCCGCCGCCGCAAGCUUCCGUGUCCGCGAGAUCUCAUCUGGAGACCCUUCCCGGUGCCCUGCCGGAGGGGACUUUGGAGUUGGAGGGCUUCUACAUCAACAUCAUCGCCGCUCCAAUGACUCGUGAGUAGUCCACUUCAGACCUACGGGUCCGUAGUUAGUAUCUAGAUGGCUUCUUCUCUCUCUUGGAUCUUCAAUACAAAGUUCUCCAUGAUCUUCAUGGAGAUCUAUCCUAUGUAAUCCUCUUUGGCGGUGUGUUUGUCGAGAUCCGAUGAAUUGUGGAUUUGUGAUCAGAUUAUCUACGAAUUAUAUUUGAGUCUUUGCUGAUUUCUUAUUUGCAUGAUUUGAUAUCCUUGUAAGUCUCUCCGAGUCUUGGGUUUUGUUUGGCCAACUAGAUCUAUGAUUCUUGCAAUGGGAGAAGUGCUUGGUUUUGGGUUCAUACCGUGUGAUGACCUUUCCCAGUGACAGAAGGGGCAGAAAGGCACACAUCGUGUUGUUGCCAUCAAGGGUAACAAGAUGGGCUUUCAUCAUAGAUUUGAGAUUGUUCAUCUGCUCAUGUCAUCUUGCUUAAGGCGUUACUAUGUUCUUUUGAACUUAAUACACUAGAUGCAUGUUGGAUAGCGGUCGACGUGUGGAGUAAUAGUAGUAGAUGUAGAAAGUAUCGGUCUUCUUGUUUUGGACGUGAUGCCUAUAGAAAUAAUCAUUGCCUUAGAUAACGUCACGACUUUGCGCGGUUCUAUCAAUUACUCGAGAGUAAUUCGUUCACCCACCGUCUACUUGCUUUCAUGAGAGAAGCCACUAGUGUACACUACGGCCCCCGGGUCUAUUCACAACUUUCAUUUCCACUUUCACUUUUACUUUGCUUUGUUUACUCUUUGCUUUCAGUUCUCACUUUGCAAACAAUCUAUAAGGGAUUGACAACCCCUUCAUAGCGUUGGGUGCAAGCUCGUUGUGUUUGUGCAGGUACUUGUGACUUGAACGCUCCUCCUACUGUAUUGAUACCUUGGUUCUCAAACUGAGGGAAAUACUUACCGCCACUGUGCUACAUCACCCUUUCCUCUUCAAGGGAACACCAACACAAGGCUCCAAGGCCGCGGGGAAAUCCUUUGCAUAUUUGCCAAGGAAGUCCCUAUAGGCGUAGCCGUAGCAGCAGGAUUCCCGGCGCCGUUGCCAGGGAAGAUCUGUUGUCGCAGUAGCAGAAGGAUUUCUGGCGCCGUUGCCAGGGAGAAGAGAUCAAGUCAAGAUCUAUCCAAGUAGGUGUCACAAACUCAUCUCUUGCAUUUACCUUUUUUGCUAGUUGCCUUUCGUUUUCCUCUCCCCCACUUCACAUUUGCCGUUUUCAUUUGCCUUUCUCCUUUGCCGUUUUCUUUUGCCUUUCGCCCUUUUCUCUUGCUUGCUUUCUGUUCGUUUGUGUGCCUUGUGCCUUCAAUAUGCUUGCAUCUUCGCUUGCUGAAAAUCUAGUGAUAUGGAUCCUCAUCCACUUGCUAAUCUCUUUAAGAGAUCCAAUUAUGUUGAUCCAAUUGCUACUAAGUUGAGUGCACUUGACUUUCUCUAUGGAGUUUUGCUUGAGAUGUGUGAAUCUGAAAAUCGUGAUGAAGAAAUUCAUGAAGUGAUUCACGAGGGCUCCUUGGAUGAAAAGCAUGAUUGCAAUGGUUUCACUAUAAAUUCUAUUAGUGACAAUCAUGCUAAAAAUAUGCAAAACCCUAAGCUUGGGGAUGCUAGUUUUGCUAUGACCACUACUUAUUGCAAUAAUCAUGAUUGGGGUGAUGAUCUUUCUUAUGAUCUUGAAAAUUUGUUUAAACCUCAUGAUGAAUAUGAUAUUUGCAAUAAUAUUGAAAGUGGGUUUGGAGAAGUCAUGACUUUAGUUGAUGAUAAUCCCACUAUUUUUGAAGAGCGUCAACUUUGCAUGCAUGUGGAUCAUGAAAAGAAUACCCUAUGUGAUAAUUACAUUGUUGAAUUCGAAUAUGAUCCCACAUGCAACUGCUAUGAGAGAGGAAAAUAUUUUGGUAGAAACUUUCAUGUUACCAAAUUACCUCUCGUUAUGUGGAGAUUGCUAUUGUCUCUUUCUUCUUCCUUGCAUAUGGCAACUAUUGGUUGUCUUGACAAUCUGUUUUCCUCUAAAAUGCCUAUGCAUAGGAAGUAUGUUAGACUUAGAUGUGAUUUUCACAUGCUUUAUGAUGCUCUCGUUUGCUUCAAUUAUUCUCUUUUGUGUGAGCAUCAUUGAAUUAUCAAUGCCUAGCUAAGGGCGUUAAACAAUAACGCUUGUUGGGAGGCAACCCAACAAAUCUAUCCUUUUUAUUUCUGUUUUGUGUUUUCCACACUUUCAUAAUUCUGUUAUGAUUAUGUUUUUUGUGUUUCUUUUGCGUUUGUGCCAAGUAAAACCGUUAUGAUUAGUCUUGGGGAUGAUCGUUUGGUCAUGCUGGAAAAGACAGAAACUUUCUGCUCACGAAAAGAAUUUUCAUAUUUUUUCUGUAAGACAUUUUGAAUUGAUUCUUUUUGCUGCUGAUUGCUACGCAAAUUCUUCAGACUGUCAUAAUUUAUCAGAAUUUUUGAAGUACCAGAAGUAUACGAAGUAUACAUAUUGCUACAGACUGGUCUGCUGUUAACAGAUUCUGUUUUUGUUGAGUUGGUUGCUUAUUUUGAUGAAACUUGUUGGGGAACGUCGCAUGGGAAACAAAAUUUUCCUACGCGCAUGAAGACCUAUCAUGGUGAUGUCCAUCUACGAGAGGGGAUGAGUGAUCUACGUACCCUUGUAGACCGUACAGCAGAAGCGUUAGUGAACGCGGUUGAUGUAGUGGAACGUCCUCACGUCCCUCGAUCCGCCCCGCGAACUAUCCCGCGAUCAGUCCCACGAUCUAGUGCCGAACGGACGGCACCUCCGCGUUCAGCACACGUACAGCUCGACGAUGAUCUCGGCCUUCUUGAUCCAGCAAGAGAGACGGAGAGGUAGAAGAGUUCUCCGACAGCGUGACGGCGCUCCGGAGGUUGGUGAUGACCUUGUCUCAGCAGGGCUCCGCCCGAGCUCCGCAGAAACGCGAUCUAGAGGAAAAACCGUGGAGGUAUGUGGUCGAGCUGCCGUGGAAAAGUCGUCUCAAAUCAGCCAUAAAACCUCCGUAUAUAUAGGUGGGAGAGGGGGGCCUUGCCUUAGGGCUCAAGGAGCCCCAAGGGGGUCGGCCGAGCCAAGGGGGGAAGGUCCUCCCCCCCCAAACCGAGUUGGACUCGGUUUGGUGGGUGGGAGUCCUUCCUUCCCUUCCCACCUCCUCCUUUUUUUUCUUUCUCUUUGAUUUUUCUUCCAAUGCACAUAGGGCCCUUUUGGGCUGUCCCACCAGCCCACUAAGGGCUGGUGCGCCACCCUCAAGGCCUAUGGGCUUCCCCGGGGUGGGUUGCCCCCCCCCUCGGUGAACUCCCGGAACCCAUUCGUCAUUCCCGGUAACUCCAAAAACCUUCCGGUAAUCAAAUGAGGUCAUCCUAUAUAUGAAUCUUCGUUUCCGGACCAUUCCGGAAACCCUCGUGACGUCCGUGAUCUCAUCCGGGACUCCGAACAACAUUCGGUAACCAACCAUAUAACUCAAAUACGCAUAAAACAACGUCGAACCUUAAGUGUGCAGACCCUGCGGGUUCGAGAACUAUAUAGACAUGACCCGAGAGACUCCUCGGUCAAUAUCCAAUAGCGGGACCUGGAUGCCCAUAUUGGAUCCUACAUAUUCUACGAAGAUCUUAUCGUUUGAACCUCAGUGCCAAGGAUUCAUAUAAUCCCGUAUGUCAUUCCCUUUGUCCUUCGGUAUGUUACUUGCCCGAGAUUCGAUCGUCAGUAUCCGCAUACCUAUUUCAAUCUCGUUCACCGGCAAGUCUCUUUACUCGUUCCGUAAUACAAGAUCCCGUAACUUACACUAAGUCACAUUGCUUGCAAGGCUUGUGUGUGAUGUUGUAUUACCGAGUGGGCCCCGAGAUACCUCUCCGUCACACGGAGUGACAAAUCCUAGUCUUGAUCCAUACUAACUCAAUGAACACCUUCGGAGAUACCUGUAGAGCAUCUUUAUAGUCACCCAGUUACGUUGCGAUGUUUGAUACACAUAAAGUAUUCCCCCGGUGUUAGUGAGUUAUAUGAUCUCAUGGUCACAGGAACAAAUACUUGACACGCAGAAAACAGUAGCAACAAAAUGACACGAUCAACAUGCUACGUCUAUUAGUUUGGGUCUAGUCCAUCACGUGAUUCUCCUAAUGACGUGAUCCAGUUAUCAAGCAACAACACCUUGUUCAUAAUCAGAAGACACUCACUAUCUUUGAUCAACUGGCUAGCCAACUAGAGGCAUGCUAGGGACGGUGUUUUGUCUAUGUAUCCACACAUGUAAAUGAGUCUUCAUUCAAUACAAUUAUAGCAUGGAUAAUAAACGAUUAUCUUGAUACAGGAAUUAUAAUAAUAACUAUAUUUAUUAUUGCCUCUAGGGCAUAAUUCCAACAGUCUCCCACUUGCACUAGAGUCAAUAAUCUAGUCCUCACAUCAUCAUGCGAAUUACAUUGUAAUAAAUCUAACACCCAUACAGUUCUGGUGUUGAUCAUGCUUAGCCCGUGGAAGAGGUUUAGUCAGCGGGUCUGCUACAUUCAGAUCCGUGUGCACUUUGCAUAUAUUUACGUCCUCUCCUUCGACGUAGUCGCGGAUGAGGUUGAAACGUCGUUUGAUGUGUCUGGUCUUCUUGUGAAACCGUGGUUCCUUUGCUAAGGCAAUGGCACCCGUGUUGUCACAGAACAAGGUUAUUGGAUUCAGUGCGCUUGGCACCACUCCAAGAUCCAUCAUGAACUGCUUCAUCCAGACACCCUCCUUAGCCGCCUCCGAGGCAGCCAUGUACUCCGCUUCACAUGUAGAAUCUGCUACGACGCUUUGCUUGGAACUGCACCAGCUUACCGCACCCCCAUUAAGAAUAAAUACGUAGCCGGUUUGCGACUUAGAGUCGUCCGGAUCUGUGUCAAAGCUUGCAUCGAUGUAACCUUUUACGGCGAGCUCUUCGUCACCUCCAUACACGAGAAACAUCUCCUUAGUCCUUUUCAGGUACUUCAGGAUAUUCUUGACCGCUGUCCAGUGAUCCACUCCUGGAUUACUCUGGAACCUACCUGCCAUACUUAUGGCCAGGCUAACGUCCGGUCUAGUGCAAAUCAUUGCAUACAUGAUAGAACCUAUGGCUGAAGCAUAGGGGACGGAGCGCAUAUGCUCUCUAUCUUCAUCAGUUGCUGGGCACUGAGUCUUACUCAAUCUCGUACCUUGUAAAACUGGCAAGAACCCUUUCUUGGACUGUUCCAUUUUGAACCUCUUCAAAACUUUAUCAAGGUAUGUGCUUUGUGAAAGUCCUAUCAGGCGUUUUGAUCUAUCCCUAUAGAUCUUAAUGCCUAGAAUGUAAGCAGCUUCUCCUAGGUCCUUCAUAGAGAAACUUUUAUUCAAGUAAUCCUUUAUGCUCUCCAAAAACUCCACGUUGUUUCCAAUCAGCAAUAUGUCAUCCACAUAUAAUAUUAGAAACGCCACAGAGCUCCCACUCACUUUCUUGUAAAUACAAGAUUCUCCAACCACUUGUAUAAACCCAAAUUCUUUGAUCACCUCAUCAAAGCGUUUGUUCCAACUCCGAGAUGCUUGCACCAGUCCAUAAAUGGAUCGCUGGAGCUUGCACACCUUGUUAGCAUUCUUAGGAUCGACAAAACCUUCGGGUUGCAUCAUAUACAAUUCUUCCUUAAGGAAACCGUUAAGGAACGCCGUUUUGACAUCCAUCUGCCAGAUUUCAUAAUCGAAAAAUGCAGCUAUUGCUAACAUGAUUCUGACGGACUUAAGCAUCGCUACGGGUGAGAAUGUCUCAUCGUAGUCAACUCCUUGAACUUGUGAAAAACCCUUUGCCACAAGUCGAGCUUUAUAAACGGUCACAUUGCCGUCAGCGUCUGUCUUUCUCUUAAAGAUCCAUUUGUUCUGAAUAGCCUUGCGGCCUUCAGGGAGUACCUCCAAAGUCCACACUUUGUUCUCAUACAUGGAUCCUAUCUCGGACUUCAUGGCUUCUAGCCAUUUGUUGGAAUCUGGGCCCACCAUUGCUUCUUCAUAAUUUGCAGGUUCAUUGUUGUCCAACAACAUGAUUGAUAAUACGGGAUUACCGUACCACUCUGGAGCAGCACGUGGUCUCGUCGACCUGCGUGAUUCGACAGAAACUUGAACCAGAGUUUCAUGAUCAUCAUCAUUAACUUCCUCCUCAACCGGCGUCGCAACGACAGAGGUUUCCCCUUGCCCUGCGCCACCAUCAAGAGGGAUGGGAGGUUCGACAACUUCGUCAAGUUCUAUCUUCCUCCCACUCAAUUCUCUCGGGAGAAACUCCUUCUCGAGAAAAGCUCCGUUUUUAGCAACAAACACUUUGCCCUCGGAUUUGAGAUAGAAGGUGUAUCCAAUGGUCUCUUUUGGGUAACCUAUGAAGACGCACUUUUCCGCUUUGGGUUCCAGCUUUUCAGGCUGAAGCUUUUUGACAUAAGCAUCACAUCCCCAAACUUUAAGAAACGACAACUUUGGCCUUUUGCCAUACCACAGUUCGUAUGGUGUCGUCUCAACGGAUUUUGAUGGUGCCCUAUUUAAAGUGAAUGCGGAUGUUUCUAAUGCAUAACCCCAAAACGAUAACGGCAAAUCGGUAAGAGACAUCAUAGAUCGCACCAUCUCUAAUAAAGUACGAUUACGACGUUCGGACACACCAUUACGCUGUGGUGUUCCAGGCGGUGUCAACUGUGAAACAAUUCCACAUUGUUUUAAGUGAGCACCAAACUCGAAACUCAGAUAUUCACCCCCACGAUCAGACCAUAGGAACUUGAUCUUCUUGUUACAAUGAUUUUCAACUUCACUCUGAAAUUGCUUGAACUUUUCAAAUGUUUCAGACUUGUGCUUCAUUAAGUAGACAUAACCAUAUCUACUCAAAUCGUCAGUGAAGGUGAGAAAAUAACGAUAUCCGCCGCGUGCCUCUAUGCUCAUCGGACCACACACAUCGGUAUGUAUGAUUUCCAACAACUCACUUGCACGCUCCAUUGUUCCGGAGAAUGGAGUUUUAGUCAUCUUGCCCAUGAGGCAUGGUUCGCACGUGUCAAGUGAAUCAAAGUCAAGUGACUCCAAAAGUCCAUCGGCAUGGAGUUUCUUCAUGCGCUUUACACCAAAGCGGCAGUGCCACAAAAAUAUGGCGCUAUCAUUGUUAACUCUAACUCUUUUGGUCUCAAUGUUAUGUAUGUGUGUAUCGCUAUCAAGAUUCAAUAUGAACAAUCCUCUCACAUUGGGUGCAUGACCAUAAAAGAUGUUACUCAUAGAAAUAGAACAACCAUUAUUCUCUGACUUAAAAGAGUAACCGUCUCGCAAUAAACAAGAUCCAGAUAUAAUGUUCAUGCUCAACGCAUGCACUAAAUAACAAUGAUUUAAGUUCAUAACUAAUCCUGAUGGUAACUGAAGUGAAACUGUGCCGACGGCGAUUGCAUCAACCUUGGAACCAUUUCCUACGCGCAUCGUCACUUCAUCUUUCGCCAGCCUUCGUCUAUUCCGCAGUUCCUGUUUCGAGUUGCAAAUAUGAGCAACAGAACCGGUAUCGAAUACCCAGGCACUACUACGAGAGCCGGUUAAGUACACAUCAAUAACAUGUAUAUCAAAUAUACCUGAUUUUUCUUUGGCCGCCUUCUUAUCUGCCAGAUACUUGGGGCAAUUGUGCUUCCACUGACCCAUACCCUUGCAAUAGUAACACUCUGUUUCAGGCUUAGGUCCAGCUUUGGGUUUCUUCGUCGGAUUGGCAACAGGCUUGCCGCUCUUCUUUGAAUUACCCUUCUUGCCUUUGCCGUUUCUCUUGAAACUAGUGGUCUUAUUCACCAUCAACACUUGAUGCUCUUUACGGAGUUCAGACUCUGCGACUUUCAGCAUCGGAAACAACUCGCCGGGUGACUUGUUCAUCCCUUGCAUGUUGUAGUUCAACACAAAGCCUUUAUAGCUUGGCGGCAGUGAUUGAAGGAUUCUGUCAGUGAUAGCCUCUUGUGGGAGUUCAAUCCCCAGCUCACCUAGACGGUUUGAUUACCCAGACAUUUUGAGCACAUGUUCACUGACAGACGAGUUCUCCUCCAUCUUGCAAGCAUAGAAUUUAUCGGAGGUCUCAUACCUCUCGAUCCGGGCGUUCUUCUAAAAGAUAAACUUCAACUCCUGGAACAUCUCAAAUGCUCCAUGACGCUCAAAGCGACGUUGAAGUCCCGGUUCUAAGCCAUACAAGACUGCACAUUGAACUACUGAGUAGUCCUCCUUACGUGCUAACCAAGCGUUCUUAACAUCCUGAUCAGCCGUAGCGGGUGGUUCAUCUCCUAGCGCAGCAUUAAGGACAUAAUCCUUCUUCCCAGCUUGUAAGAUUAGCUUAAGAUUACGAGCCCAGUCUACAAAGUUGCUUCCAUCAUCUUUCAACUUAGCUUUCUCUAGGAACGUAUUAAAAUUCAGGGUGACUAUCGCGUGAGCCAUGAUCUACAACACAAAUAUAUUCAAAGUGGACUUAGACUAUGUUCAAGAUAAUUAGAGUUUAACUUAAUCAAAUUAUUCGCUAAACUCCCACUCAAAAAGUACAUCUCUCUAGUUAUUUGAGUGGUUCAUGAUCCACUUACACUAGCUCAAGUCCGAUGAUCACGUGAGUUGAGUAAAGUUUCAGUGGUAAGCAUCCCUAUGCUAAUCAUAUCAUCUAUAUGAUUCAUGAUCGACCUUUCGGUCUCAUGUGUUCCGAGGCCAUGUCUGCACAUGCUAGGCUCGUCAAGCUUAACCCGAGUGUUCCGCGUGCGCAACUGUUUUGCACCGUUGUAUGUGAACGUUGAGUCUAUCACACCCGAUCAUCACGUGGUGUCUCGAAACGACGAACUGUAGCAACGGUGCACAGUCGGGGAGAACACAAUUUCGUCUUGAAAUUUUAGUGAGAGAUCACCUCAUAAUGCUACCGUCGUUCUAAGAAAAAUAAGGUGCAUAAAAGGAUUAACAUCACAUGCAAUUCAUAAGUGACAUGAUAUGGCCAUCAUCACGUGCUUCUUGAUCUCCAUCACCAAAGCACCGGCACGAUCUUCUUGUCACCGGUGCCACACCAUGAUCUCCAUCAACGUGUCGCCAUCGGGGUUGUCGUGCUACUGAUGGUAUUACUACUAAAGCUACAUCCUAGCAAAAUAGUAAACGCAUCUGCAAGCACAAACAUUAGUAUAAAGACAACCCUAUGGCUCCUGCCGGUUACCGUACCAUAGACGUGCAAGUCGAUAUUAUCUAUUACAACAUGAUCAUCUCAUACAUCCAAUAUAUCACAUCACAUCGUUGGCCAUAUCACAUCAUAAGCAUACCCUGCAAAAACAAGUUAGAUGUCCUCUAAUUUUGUUGUUGCAUGUUUUACGUGGUGACCAUGGGUAUCUAGUAGGAUCGCAUCUUAGUUACGCAAACACCACAACGGAGAUAUAUGAGUUGCUAUUUAACCUCAUCCAAGGACCUCCUCGGUCAAAUCUGAUUCAACUAAAGUUGGAGAAACCGACACUUGCCACUCAUCUUUGAGCAACGGGGUUACUCAUAGCGAUGAAACUAGUCUCUCGUAAGCGUACGAGUAAUGUCGGUCCAAGCCGCUUCCAUCCAACAAUACCGCAGAAUCAAGAAAAGACUAAGGAGGGCAGCAAAACGCACAUCACCGCCCACAAAAACUUUUGUGUUCUACUCGAGAAGACAUCUACGCAUGAACCUAGCUCUGAUACCACUGUUGGGGAACGUCGCAUGGGAAACAAAAUUUUCCUACGCGCACGAAGACCUAUCAUGGUGAUGUCCAUCUACGAGAGGGGAUGAGUGAUCUACGUACCCUUGUAGACCGUACAGCAGAAGCGUUAGUGAACGCGGUUGAUGUAGUGGAACGUCCUCACGUCCCUCGAUCCGCCCCGCGAACUAUCCCGCGAUCAGUCCCACGAUCUAGUGCCGAACGGACGGCACCUCCGCGUUCAGCACACGUACAGCUCGACGAUGAUCUCGGCCUUCUUGAUCCAGCAAGAGAGACGGAGAGGUAGAAGAGUUCUCCGGAAGCGUGACGGCGCUCCGGAGGUUGGUAAUGACCUUGUCUCAGCAGGGCUCCGCCCGAGCUCCGCAGAAACGCGAUCUAGAGGAAAAACCGUGGAGGUAUGUCGUCGGGCUGUCGUGGAAAAGUCGUCUCAAAUCAGCCCUAAAACCUCCGUAUAUAUAGGUGGGAGAGGGGGGGCCUUGCCUUGGGGCUCAAGGAGCCCCAAGGGGGUCGGCCGAGCCAAGGGGGGAAGGUCUCCCCCCCCAAACAGAGUUGGACUCGGUUUGGUGGGUGGGAGUCCUUCCUUCCCUUCCCACCUCCUCCUUUUUUUCUUUCUCUUUGAUUUUUCUUCCAAUGCGCAUAGGGCCCUUUUGGGCUGUCCCACCAGCCCACUAAGGGCUGGUGCGCCACCCUCAAGGCCCAUGGGCUUCCCCGGGGUGGGUUGCCCCCCCGGUGAACUCCCGGAACCCAUUCGUCAUUCCCGGUAACUACGAAAACCUUCCGGUAACCAAAUGAGGUCAUCCUAUAUAUCAAUCUUCGUUUUCGGACCAUUCCGGAAACCCUCGUGACGUCCGUGAUCUCAUCCGGGACUCCGAACAACAUUCGGUAACUAACCAUAUAACUCAAAUACGCAUAAAACAACGUCGAACCUUAAGUGUGCAGACCCUGCGGGUUCGAGAACUAUGUAGACAUGACCCGAGAGACUCCUCGGUCAAUAUCCAAUAGCAGGACCUGGAUUCCCAUAUUGGAUCCUACAUAUUCUAUGAAGAUCUUAUCGUUUGAACCUCAGUGCCAAGGAUUCAUAUAAUCCCGUAUGUCAUUCCCUUUGUCUUCGGUAUGUUACUUGCCCGAGAUUCGAUCGUCAGUAUCCGCAUACCUAUUUCAAUCUCAUUCACCGGCAAGUCUCUUUACUCGUUCCGUAAUACAAGAUCCCGUAACUUACACUAAGUCACAUUGCUUGCAAGGCUUGUGUGUGAUGUUGUAUUACGGAGUGGGCCCCGAGAUACCUCUCCGUCACACGGAGUGACAAAUCCUAGUCUUGAUCCAUACUAACUCAACGAACACCUUCGGAGAUACCUGUAGAGCAUCUUUAUAGUCACCCAGUUACGUUGCGAAGUUUGAUACACACAAAGUAUUCCUCCGGUGUUAGUGAGUUAUAUGAUCUCAUGGUCAUAGGAACAAAUACUUGACACGCAGAAAACAGUAGCAACAAAAUGACACGAUCAACAUGCUACGUCUAUUAGUUUGGGUCUAGUCCAUCACGUGAUUCUCCUAAUGACGUGAUCCAGUUAUCAAGCAACAACACCUUGUUCAUAAUCAGAAGACACUGACUAUCUUUGAUCAACUGGCUAGCCAACUAGAGGCUUGCUAGGGACAGUGUUUUGUCUAUGUAUCCACACAUGUAAAUGAGUCUUCAUUCAAUACAAUUAUAGCAUGGAUAAUAAACGAUUAUCUUGAUACAGGAAUUAUAAUAAUAACUAUAUUUAUUAUUGCCUCUAGGGCAUAAUUCCAACAAAACUAUGGAUAGUAUCGGGGGGUAUUAGCCAUGGAAGAUUGAAAAUACAGUAACCCAACAUCAACAUAAGUAGAAUUUAAGUUUGCUACAGUACCUAAGGAAGUGGUGGUUUGCUUUCUUAUACUAAUGUUAUCACGAGUUUCUGUUUAAGUUUCGUGUUGUGAAGUUUUCAAGUUUUGGGUGAAGUUCUUAUGGACAAAAAGAUAAAGAGUUGCAAGAUCUCAAGCUUGGGGAUGACCAAGGCACCCCAAGUUGAUUCAAGGAUGCUGUAAAGGCCUAAGCUUGGGGAUGCCCUGGGAAGGCAUCCCCUCUUUCGUCUUCAAUCCAUCGAUAACGUUACUUGGGGCUAUAUUUUUAUUCACCACAUGUUAUGUGUUUUUCUUGGAGCGUCUUGUAUCGUAGGAGUCUUCUAUUUUUGUUGUGUCACAAUCUUCCUUGCUGCACACCUAGAGAGAGAGACAUGCACUCACCGUGAUUUUGUCGAGCUUCACUUAUAUCCUUUGGUUAGACAAUUCAGCUCACAUGUGCUUCACUUAUAUCUUUUGAGCUAGUUGAUUUUGCUCUAUGUGCUUCACUUAUAUCUUUUAGAGCACGGAAGCGUGUGGCUUCGUAGUUGAUCUAUGCUAUGAAAGUAGUCUCAAAAGGGGUAGUUAUCCAAAGGGAUAUGAAAACUUCCACCUUCAUGUGCAUUGAAUAGUUAGAGAAGUUUGAUUCAUCUCAAUUAGUUUUGAGUUGUGGUUGUGGUAAUAUUGAAGUUAUAUUAGUAAGGUGUUGUGGAUCUAGAAAUACUUGUGUUGAAGUUAGUGAUUACCGUGGCAUGCACGUAUGGUGAACUGCUAUGUGAUGAAGUCUGAGCAUGAUUAGUCAAUUGAUUGUCAUCCUUUGUGUGGCGGUCGGGAUCGCACGAUGGUUUAUACCUACCAACCCUUCCCCUAGGAGUAUGCGUUGAAUGCUUUGUUUCGAUUACUACUAAAACUUUUGCAAUAAGUAUAUGAGUUCUUCAUGACUAAUGUUGAGUCCAUUGUUUAGAUGCACUUUCACCUUCCACCAUCACUAUCUUCUUUAGUGCCGUGCAACUUUCUCGGGUGCACAAAACCCACCAUUAGCCUCCCUCAAAACAGCCACCAUACCUACCUACUAUGGCUUUUUUCAAAGCCAUUCAGAGAUAUAUUGCCAUGCAACUACCACCAUGACAUGUGCCACCACUUCUACAUUGCCAUUGCAUGAUCAUAAGAUAGCUAGCAUGAUGUUUCCAUUGAUGUCUAUUCCAUGCUAGUUCAUUGUCACAGUACACUACCGAAGGCAUUCCAUAUAGAGUCAUCAUUGCUCUAAGUUUUGAGUUGUAAGUGUGAUGAUCAUCAUUGAUGGAGCAUUGUACCAUGUGAGGAAAUAAAAGAGGCCAGCGAAGCCCAUUUACAAAAAGAGGCCAAAGAUGCCCACAAAAAAAGGCCAAAGAGCCCACCAAAAAAAUGAGAGAAAAAGAGAGAAGGGACAGUGCUACUAUCUUUCCACACUUGUGCUUAUUAAGCACCAUGAUCUUCAUGAUUGAGAGUCUCUCGUUUUGUCACCACCAUAUAGCUAGUGGGAAAUUUUAAUUAUAUAACUUGGCUUGUAUAUUCCAAUGAUAGGCUUCCUCAAAAUUGCCUUAGGUCUUCGUGAGCAAGCAAGUUGGAUGCACCCCCACUAGUUUUCUUUAAGAGCUUUCAUAUACUCUUGGCUCUAGUGCAUCAAUUGUAUGGCAAUCCCUACUCAUUCACGUUGAUAUCUAUUGAUGAGAAUCUCCAUAGCUCAUUGAUAUGCCUAGUCAAUGUGACCAUCCUCUCCUUGUUUGUCUUGCAACCUCCACCACACUCCAUACCACUUUUAGUGCUAAAACCAUGGCUCACGCUCAUGUAUUGCAUGAGAGUUGAAAAGAUUUGAGAAAGUAAAGGUGUGAAAACAAUUACUUGGCCAAUACCGGGGUUGUGCAUGAUUUAAAUUCGUUGUGCAAGGAUGAUAGAGCAUAGCCAGACUAUAUGAUUUUGUAGGGAUAACUUUCUUUUGGCCUAGUUAUUUUGAAAGUUCAUGAUUAUCUUGCUAGUUUGCUUGAGUAUUGUUGUCUCCACGUCAAUAACAAACUAUUGUUUUGAAUCUAAUGGAUCUGAACAUUCACCUCACAUAAGAGGAGUUACAAAGGACAUCUAUGCUAGGUAGCAUGAAAGCAUAAAAAAUUCAUUCUUUAUCACUUCCCUACUCGAGGACGAGCAGGAGUUAAGCUUGGGGAUGCUUGAUACGUCUCAAACGUAUCUAUAAUUUUUGAUGGGUUCACGCUGUUAUCUUGUCAACUUUGGAUGUUUUGUAUACCUUUUAUAUCUUUUUUGGGACUAACUUAUUAAUUCAGUGCCAAGUACCAGUUCCUGUUUUUUUCCGUGUUUUUGACUCUUUUCAGAUCUGAUUUUGGAACGGAGUCCAAACGGAAUAAAAUCCCCGAAAUAAAUUUUUCCAGAACGGAAGAAGAUCGGAGGACGUGAGGGCCAAGGUAGGGGCCCACAGGGAGCCCACAAGCCCUGUUGCCGCGGCCAGGGGGGCCGCGGCAACCAGGCUUGUGGCCUCCCUGGUGCUCCCCUGCCCUAGCUCUUUGGCCUAAAAAUUCCCUAAAAAUCGAGAAAAAAUAAGGGCAUCCACGAAAACACUUUUCCACUGCCGCAAGCUUCCGUUUCCGCGAGAUCUCAUCUGGAGACCCUUCCCGGUGCCCUGCCGGAGGGGACUUUGGAGUUGGAGGGCUUCUACAUCAACAUCAUCGCCUCUCCAAUGAUUCGUGAGUAGUCCACUUCAGACCUACGGGUCCAUAGUUAGUAUCUAGAUGGCUUUUUCUCUCUCUUGGAUCUUCAAUACAAAGUUCUCCAUGAUCUUCAUGGAGAUCUAUCCGAUGUAAUCCUCUUUGGCGGUGUGUUUGUCGAGAUCCGAUGAAUUGUGGAUUUGUGAUUAGAUUAUCUAUGAGUUAUAUUAGAGUCUUUGCUAAUUUCUUAUUUGCAUGAUUUGAUAUCCUUGUAAGUCUCUCUGAGUCUUGGGUUUUGUUUGGCCAACUAGAUCUAUGAUUCUUGCAAUGGGAGAAGUGCUUGGUUUUGGGUUCAUACCUUGUGGUGACCUUUCCAAGUGACAGAAGGGGCAGCAAGGCACGCAUCGUGUUGUUGCCAUCAAGGGUAACAAGAUGGGCUUUCAUCAUAGAUUUGAGAUUGUUCAUCUACAUCAUGUCAUCUUGCUUAAGGCAUUACUAUGUUCUUUUGAACUUAAUACACUAGAUGCAUGUUGGAUAGCGGUCGACGUGUGGAGUAAUAGUAGUAGAUGUAGAAAGUAUCGGUCUACUUGUUUUGGACGUGAUGCCUAUAGAUAUAAUCAUUGCCUUAGAUAACGUCACGACUUUGCGCGGUUCUAUCAAUUGCUCGAUAGUAAUUCGUUCACCCACCGUCUACUUGCUUUCAUGAGAGAAGCCACUAGUGAACACUACGCCCCGGGGUCUAUUCACAACUAUCAUUUCCACACUCACUUUUACUUUGCUUUGUUUACUCUUUGCUUUCAGUUCUCACUUUGCAAACAAUCUAUAAGGGAUUGACAACCCCUUCAUAGCGUUGGGUGUAAGCUCUUUGUGUUUGUGCAGGUACAUGUGACUUGAACGCUCCUCCUACUGGAUUGAUACCUUGGUUCUCAAACUAAGGGAAAUACUUACCGCCGCUGAGCUACAUCACCCUUUCCUCUUCAAGGGAACACCAACGCUAGGCUCCAAGGCCGCGGGGAAAUCCUUUGCAUAUUUGCCAAGGAAGUCCCUAUAGGCGUAGCCGUAGCAGCAGGAUUCCUGGCGCCGUUGCCAGGGAAGGUCUGUUGUCGCAGUAGCAGUCCCUUAGCUCCCCAGAUCUUGCGGCCUUGCGCGAAGCCCUUUAUAAUGAUAAAACUUAUAGCUUGGGUGCUAUAGUAGCUCAACGGUUGAACACGAACCGUUCUAAAGGCGUUGUCUAUGGAGGUAUCUAUGCUACUCGUCUUGCUAGACAUUUUGAGAUACCUAUUAGACUCGACGAGGAAGAAGAGAUUCUUCUUCCCGAGAGAUAUCUAGAUUAUGAUAGCAUGGUUCGCCAUGACUUUCUUGUUAGAGAUAUAAAUAGAAGGAUGAUUUAUAACCUGGUAUUUAGUCAGGGUACUCGUGAGACUAUUACUUUGCCUGCUCCUUCUUUGUUUAAUCUUCAUGCAUGCAGGUACAUUAUUAUGCCCUUGGACAUCUACGCAUAUUGGGGCUUAGCCCAACCACAGGUGCCCGUGCCCGAGCCACCAGUCGUGUACCAGACGCCAGUUUAUCAGUAGGAGCCAGAAGAGCUCACACAACAGUGGCAAUCUCAGUCCACUCCGGAGUACCCCGGAGCGGGUUAUUUCCCUCCUUGGGAGUAGACCAACUUAGGCCAAAAGCCUAAGCUUGGGGGAGUACGUGUUUCUCACCGACUUUAUAUUCUUGCUUAUGCUUUCACUUUGUUUGUCGGUGUUCACACUUUGCCACUGUAUCAUACAUGCUAGUUUAUUUUCUUUUUCUCAUUUUCUUUUCGUGUGCCUGUCUAGUUUGAGAAAACCCAAAAAGAUUUUCUUGUUCUUCUUUUGCUUGUUGGGAGCUUUCCCGUGUAAAUAGUUUUCUUUUUCUUUGGGUCAAGGUAGAAGACCAUGGUUACAAUGUUUAGUGGCUCUCACAUGCAUAUCUAUUUAUCUGUUAAAGAGCCAUAUUACUUUGUCUUCUCCUUUGUGUCUUCUUGCAUAUUCCAGCUUAGUCCAAUGCACGAGCACUCUUAUUAUUGUUCACAUCAUUCGGUCGUGCAAGUGAAAUGCAAUAAUGACGAUAUAUGAUGAAGUGACUGAGCCUGGAAAAGCUGGUAUUAACUCGAUCUAUUUUGUUUUUGUAAAUAUGACUAGCUCAUCGUUCCUGAUUCAGCUUUGUCGUGAGGGAAACAUGUUUGCAAUGACAACUUAGAGAUCAUAGUUUCUGAAGCCAUGCUUAAUUAGCUAGGAGCUUAUAAUGGUUUGCUUUGGAUGCCAACAUGAAUUUUGAGAUGACUAUGAUGUAGUAUGAUAGGAUGGUAUCCUCCUUUGAAUGAUUCAAGUGGCUUGACUUGGCGCAUGUUUAUGCAUGUAGUUGAAACAAAAUCAACAUAGCCUCUAUGAUGUUCAUGUUCAUGGUGAUUUAUGUCCUACUCAUGCUUGCACUCAAUGUUGGUUAACCUCAAUGCAUUUUGAUGACUGUUGUCGCUCUCUAGUUGGUCGCUUCCCAGUCUUUUGCUAGCCUUCACUUAUACUAAGCGAGAAUACUACUUGUGCAUCCACUUCCAUAAACCCAAAGUUGUUCCAUAUGAGUCCACCAUACCUACCUAUAUGCGGUAUCUACUUGUCGUUCCAAGUAAAUUCGCAUGUGCCACUCUCUAAAUCUUCAAGAAAUAAUCUAUUUUGCAUGUCCGAACCGCUCAUGUGGUGACAGGGGCUAUCAGUAUCUUCCAUGUUAGGUGUGUUAUCCUCGGUAUGUGUUUAUUCACUAUCAUUCACGAGAAAGGGGCCGGUAAUUGGAAUGCCCAGUUCCAUGCUCAAAUAGAAAAGAUAAUUGCAAACAAAACUCCCCCUGGGUUGAUGUUGGUAUGGACGGCACCCGAGUAUUCGGCUAGUCGUGGAGUGUGAUUGAUCGGUGGUGGGGGAGUCAAAACUUUACUUUUCUGUUUGGGAACCGCCUAUAGCAUGUGUAGCAUGGAAGAUGGUGAGAACUCUUAGUCAUUGCGUUGACAAUGAAAGCAUGCCACCCAAAAUUAUUAUAUCUAUUUUCAAAAGCUUGAGUUGUGGCACCUCUGCAAAUCAAUGCUUCCCUCUGCGAAGGGCAUGUCUAUUUAUGUUCGUGUUGAGUCAUCCUCUUCUUAUAAAAGCACCAAUUAGAGAGCAUCUCUGUCAUUUUUAUGCUUUGAUUUUAACUGUGAUUGAGUUGUUGGGGAACGUCGCAUGGGAAACAAAAAAUUUCCUACACGCACGAAGACCUAUCAUGGUGAUGUCCAUCUACGAGAGGGGAUGAGUGAUCUACGUACCCUUGUAGACCGUACAGCAGAAGCGUUAGAGAACGCGGUUGAUGUAGUGGAACGUCCUCACGUCCCUCGAUCCGCCCCGCGAACAAUCCCGCGAUCAGUCCCACGAUCUUGUACCGAACGGACGGCACCUCCGCGUUCAGCACACGUACAGCUCGACGAUGAUCUCGGCCUUCUUGAUCCAGCAAGAGAGGCGGAGAGGUAGAAGAGUUCUCCGGCAGCGUGACGGCGCUCCGGAGGUUGGUGAUGAUCUUGUCUCAGCAGGGCUCCGCCCGAGCUCCGCAGAAACAAGAUCCAGAGGAAAAACUAUGAGGUAUGUGGUCGGGCAGCCGUGAGAAAGUCAUCUCAAAUCUGCCCUAAAAGCCCCAUAUAUAUAGGAGGAGGGAGGGGGACCUUGCCUUGGGGUCCAAGGGACUCCCAAGGGGUCGGCCGAGCCAAGGGGGGGAGGACUCCCCCCCCCCAAACCGAGUUGGACUUGGUUUGGUGGGAGGAGUCCCCCUCCCUUCCCACUUCUUCCCUCRUUUUUUUUUUCUUUUCCUUUGAUUUUCUUAUCUUGGCGCAUAGGCUCCCUUGGGGCUGUCCCACCAGCCCACUAAGGGCUGGUGUGUCCCCCAAAAGCCUAUGGGCUUCCCCGGAGUGGGUUGCCCCCCUCCGGUGAACUCCCGGAACCCAUUCGUCAUUCCCGAUACAUUCCCGGUAACUCCGAAAACCUUCCGAUAAUCAAAUGAGGUCAUCCUAUAUAUCAAUCUUCGUUUCCGAACCAUUCCGGAAACCCUCGUGACGUCCGUGAUCUCAUCCGGGACUCCGAACAACAUUCGGUAACCAACCAUAUAACUCAAAUACGCAUAAAACAACGUCGAACCUUAAGUGUGCAGACCCUGCGGGUUCGAGAACUAUGUAGACAUGACCCAAGAGACUCCUCGGUCAAUAUCCAAUAGCGGGACCUGGAUGCCCAUAUUGGAUCCUACAUAUUCUACGAAGAUCUUUAUCGUUUGAACCUCAGUGCCAAGGAUUCGUAUAAUCCCGUAUGUCAUUCCCUUUGUCCUUCGGUAUGUUACUUGCCCGAGAUUCGAUCGUCAGUAUCCGUAUACCUAUUUCAAUCUCGUUUACCGGCAAGUCUCUUUACUCGUUCCGUAAUACAAGAUCCCGCAACUUACACUAAGUUACAUUGCUUGCAAGGCUUGUGUGUGAUGUUGUAUUACCGAGUGGGCCCCGAGAUACCUCUCCGUCACACGGAGUGACAAAUCCCAGUCUUGAUCCAUACUAACUCAACUAACACCUUCGGAGAUACCUGUAGAGCAUCUUUAUAGUCACCCAGUUACGUUGCGACGUUUGAUACACACAAAGCAUUCCUCCGGUGUCAGUGAGUUAUAUGAUCUCAUGGUCAUAGGAAUAAAUACUUGACACGCAGAAAACAGUAGCAACAAAAUGACACGAUCAACAUGCUACGUCUAUUAGUUUGGGUCUAGUCCAUCACGUGAUUCUCCUAAUGACGUGAUCCAGUUAUCAAGCAACAACACCUUGUUCAUAAUCAGAAGACACUGACUAUCAUCGAUCAACUGGCUAGCCAACUAGAGGCAUGCUAGGGACGGUGUUUUGUCUAUGUAUCCACACAUGUAAAUGAGUCUUCAUUCAAUACAAUUAUAGCAUGGAUAAUAAACUAUUAUCUUGAUACAGGAAUUAUAAUAAUAAUUAUACAUUUAUUAUUGCCCCUAGGGCAUAAUUCCAACAAUCUCCCACUUGCACUAGAGUCAAUAAUCUAACCCUCACAUCACCAUGUGAAUUACAUUGUAAUAAAUCUAACACCCAUACAGUUCUGGUGUCGAUCAUGUUUUGGCCGUGGAAGAGGUUUAGUCAGCGGGUCUGCUACAUUCAGAUCCGUGUGCACUUUGCAUAUAUUUACGUCCUCCUCCUCGACGUAGUCGCGGAUGAGGUUGAAGCGUCGUUUGAUGUGUCUGGUCUUCUUGUGAAACCUUGGUUCCUUUGCUAAGGCAAUGGCACCAGUGUUGUCACAGAACAAGGGUAUUGGAUCCAGUGCACUUGGCACCACUCCAAGAUCCGUCAUGAACUGCUUCAUCCAGACACCCUCCUUAGCCGCCUCCGAGGCAGCCAUGUACUCCGCUUCACAUUUAGAAUCUGCUACGACGCUUUGCUUGGAACUGCACCAGCUUACUGCACCCCCAUUAAGAAUAAAUACUUAUCCGGUUUGCGACUUAGAGUCGUCCGGAUCUGUGUCAAAGCUUGCAUCGACGUAACCUUUUACGGCGAGCUCUUCGUCACCUCCAUACACGAGAAACAUCUCCUUAGUCCUUUUCAGGUACUUCAGGAUAUUCUUGACCGCCGUCCAGUGAUCCACUCCUGGAUUACUCUGGAACCUACCUGCCAUACUUAUGGCCAGGCUAACAUCCGGUCUAGUGCACAACAUUGCAUACAUGAUAGAGCCUACGGCUGAAGCAUAGGGGACGGAGCGCAUAUGCUCUCUAUCUUCAUCAGUUGCUGGGCACUGAGUCUUACUCAAUCUCCUACCUUGUAACACCGGCAAGAACCCUUUCUUGGACUGUUCCAUUUUGAACCUCUUCAAAACUUUAUCAAGGUAUGUGCUUUUUGAAAGUCCUAUCAGGCGUUUUGAUCUAUCCCUAUAGAUCUUAAUGCCUAGAAUGUAAGCAGCUUCUCCUAGGUCCUUCAUAGAGAAACUUUUAUUCAAGUAACCUUUUAUGCUCUCCAAAAGCUCUACGUUGUUUCCAAUCAGUAAUAUGUCAUCCACAUAUAAUAUUAGAAACGCCACAGAGCUCCCACUCACUUUCUUGUAAAUACAAGAUUCUCCAACCACUUGUAUAAACCCAAAUGCUUUGAUCACCUCAUCAAAGCGCUUGUUCCAACUCCGAGAUGCUUGCACCAGUCCAUAAAUGGAUCGCUGGAGCUUGCACACCUUGUCAGCAUUUUUAGGAUCGACAAAACCUUCGGGUUGCAUCAUAUACAACUCUUCCUUAAGGAAACCAUUAAGGAAUGCCGUUUUGACAUCCAUCUGCCAGAUUUCAUAAUCGAAAAAUGCAGCUAUUGCUAACAUGAUUCUGACGGACUUAAGCAUCGCUACGGGUGAGAAGGUCUCAUCGUAGUCAACUCCUGGAACUUGUGAAAAACCCUUUGCCACAAGUCGAGCUUUAUAAACGGUCACAUUACCGUCAGCGUCCGUCUUCUUCUUAAAGAUCCAUUUGUUCUGAAUAGCUUUGCGGCCUUCAGGUAGUAUCUCCAAAGUCCACACUUUGUUCUCAUACAUGGAUCCUAUCUCGGAUUUCAUGGCUUCUAGCCAUUUGUUGGAAUCUGGGCCCACCAUUGCUUCUUCAUAAUUUGCAGGUUCAUUGUUGUCUAACAACAUGAUUAACAAGACGGGAUUACCGUACCACUCUGGAGCAGCGCGUGAUCUCGUCGACCUGCGUGGUUCAACAGAAACUUGAACUGGAGUUUCAUGAUCAUCAUCAUUAACUUCCUCCUCAACCGGCGUCGCAACGACAGAGGUUUCCCCUUGCCCUGCGCCACCAUCCAGAGGGAUGAGAGGUUCGACAACCUCGUCAAGUUCUAUCUUCCUCCCACUCAAUUCUCUCGAGAGAAACUCCUUUUCGAGAAAAGUUCCGUUUUUAGCAACAAACACUUUGCCCUCGGAUUUGAGAUAGAAGGUGUACCCAACUGUCUCCUUUGGGUAACCUAUGAAGACGCACUUUUCCGCUUUGGGUUCCAGCUUUUCAGGCUGAAGCUUUUUGACAUAAGCAUCACAUCCCCAAACUUUAAGAAACGACAACUUUGGUCUUUUGCCAUACCACAGUUCGUAUGGUGUCGUCUCAACGGAUUUUGAUGGUGCCCUAUUUAAAGUGAAUGCAGCUGUUUCUAAUGCAUAACCCCAAAAUGAUAACGGCAAAUCAGUAAGAGACAUCAUAGAUCGCACCAUCUCUAACAAAGUACGAUUACGACGUUCGGACACACCAUUACACUGUGGUGUUCCAGGCGGUGUUAACUGCGAAACAAUUCCACAUUGUCUUAAGUGAGCACCAAACUCGAAACUCAGAUAUUCACCCCCACGAUCAGACCGUAGGAACUUGAUCUUCUUGUUACGAUGAUUUUCCACUUCACUCUGAAAUUGCUUGAACUUUUCAAAUGUUUCAGACUUGUGCUUCAUCAAGUAGACAUAACCAUAUCUACUUAAAUCGUCAGUGAAGGUGAGAAAAUAACGAUAUCCGCCGCGUGCCUCCACGCUCAUCGGACCACACACAUCGGUAUGUAUGAUUUCCAACAAGUCACUUGCACGCUCCAUUUUUCCGGAGAACGGAGUUUUAGUCAUCUUGCCCAUGAGGCAUGGUUCGCACGUGUCAAGUGAAUCAAAGUCAAGUGACUCCAAAAGUCCAUCAGCAUGGAGUUUCUUCAUGCGCUUUACACCAAUAUGACCCAAGCGGCAGUGCCACAAAAAUAUGGCGCUAUCAUUGUUUACUCUAACUAUUUUGGUCUCAAUGUUAUGUAUAUGCGUAUCGCUAUCGAGAUUCAAUAUGAACAAUCCUCUCACAUUCGGUGCAUGACCAUAAAAGAUGUUACUCAUAGAAAUAGAACAACCAUUAUUCUCAGACUUAAAAGAGUAACCGUCUCGCAAUAAACAAGAUCCAGAUAUAAUGUUCAUGCUCAAUGCAGGCACUAAAUAACAAUGAUUUAAGUUCAUCACUAAUCCCGAUGGUAGUUGAAGUGACACGGUGCCGACGGCGAUUGCAUCAACCUUGGAACCGUUUCCUACGCGCAUCGUCACUUCGUCUUUCGCCAGCCUUCGUCUAUUCCGCAGUUUCUGUUUCGAGUUGCAAAUGUGAGCAACAGAACCGGUAUCGAAUACCCAGGCACUACUACGAGAGCCGGUUAAGUACACAUCAAUAACAUGUAUAUCAAAUAUACCUGAUUUUUCUUUGCCCGCCUUCUUAUCUGCCAGAUAAUUGGGGCAAUUGCGCUUCCAGUGACCCAUACCCUUGCAAUAGAAGCACUCUGUUUCAGGCUUAGGUCCAGCCUUGGGUUUCUUCGGCGGAUUGGCAACAGGCUUGCCGCUCUUCUUCGAAUUGCCCUUCUUGCCUUUGCCGUUUCUCUUGAAACUAGUGGUCUUGCUCACCAUCAACACUUGAUGCUCUUUACGGAGUUCAGACUCUGCGACUUUCAGCAUCGCAAACAACUCGCCGGGAGACUUGUUCAUCCCUUGCAUGUUGUAGUUCAACACAAAGCCUUUAUAGUUUGGCGGCAGUGAUUGGAGGAUUCUGUCAGUGAUAGCUUCUUGCGGGAGUUCAAUCCCCAGUUCAGCUAGACGGUUUGAGUACCCAGACAUUUUGAGCACAUGUUCACUGACAGACGAGUUUUCCUCCAUCUUGCAAGCAUAGAAUUUAUCGGAGGUCUCAUACCUCUCGAUCCGGGCGUUCUUCUGAAAGAUAAACUUCAACUCCUGGAACAUCUCAAAUGCUCCAUGACGCUCAAAGCGACGUUGAAGUCCCGGCUCUAAGCCAUACAAGACUGCACAUUGAACUAUUGAGUAGUCCUCCUUACGUGCUAACCAAGCGUUCUUAACAUCCUGAUCAGCCGUAGCGGGCGGUUCAUCUCCUAGCGCAGCAUUAAGGACAUAAUCCUUCUUUCCAGCUUGUAAGAUUAGCUUAAGAUUACGAGCCCAGUCUACAAAGUUGCUUCCAUCAUCUUUCAACUUAGCUUUCUCUAGGAACGUAUUAAAAUUCAGGAUGACACUUGCGUGAGCCAUGAUCUACAACACAAAUAUAUUCAAAGUGGACUUAGACUAUGUUCAAGAUAAUUAGAGUUCAACUUAAUCAAAUUAUAUGCUAAACUCCCACUCAAAAAAUACACCUCUCUAGUCAUUUGAGUGGUUCAUGAUCCACUUACACUAUCCCAAGUCCGAUCAUCACGUGAGUAGAGAGUAGUUUCAGUGGUAAGCAUCCCUAUGCUAAUCAUAUCAACUAUAUGAUUCAUGAUCGACCUUUCGGUCUCAUGUGUUCCGAGGCCAUGUCUGCACAUGCUAGGCUCGUCAAGCUUAACCCGAGUGUUCCGCGUGCGCAACUGUUUUGCACCCGUUGUAUGUGAACGUUGAGUCUAUCACACCCGAUCAUCACGUGGUGUCUCGAAACGACGAACUGUAGCAACGGUGCACAGUCGGGGAGAACACAAUUUCGUCUUGAAAUUUUAGUGAGAGAUCACCUCAUAAUGCUACCGUCGUUCUAAGCAAAAUAAGGUGCAUAAAAGGAUUAACAUCACAUGCAAUUCAUAAGUGACAUGAUAUGGCCAUCAUCACGUGCUUCUUGAUCUCCAUCACCAAAGCACCGGCACGAUCUUCUUGUCACCGGCGCCACACCAUGAUCAUCCAUCAACGUGUUGCCAUCGGGGUUGUCGUGCUACUUAUGCUAUUACUACUAAAGCUACAUCCUAGCAAAAUAGUAAACGCAUCUGCAAGCACAAAUAUGUUAGUAUAAAGACAACCCUAUGGCUCCUGCCGGUUGCCGUACCAUCGACGUGCAAGUCGAUAUUUCUAUUACAACAUGAUCAUCUCAUACAUCCAAUAUAUCACAUCACAUCAUUGGCCAUAUCACAUCACAAUCAUACCCUGCAAAAACAAGUUAGACGUCCUCUAAUUUUGUUGUUGCAAGUUUUACGUGGUGACCAAGGGUAUCUAGUAGGAUCGCAUCUUACUUACGCAAACACCACAACGGAGAUAUAUGAGUUGCUAUUUAACCUCAUCCAAGGACCUCCUCGGUCAAAUCCGAUUCAACUAAAGUUGGAGAAACCGUCACUUGCCAGUCAUCUUUGAGCAAAGGGGGUUACUCGUAACGAUGAAACCAGUCUCUCGUAAGCGUACGAGUAAUGUCGGUCCAAGCCGCUUCAAUCCAAUAAUACCGCGGAAUCAAGAAAAGACUAAGGAGGGCAGCAAAACGCACAUCACCGCCCACAAAACCUUUUGUUUCUACUCGAGAAGACAUCUACGCAUGAACCUAGCUCUGAUACCACUGUUGGGAACGUCGCAUGGGAAACAAAAAAUUUCCUACGCGCACGAAGACCUAUCAUGGUGAUGUCCAUCUACGAGAGGGGAUGAGUGAUCUACGUACCCUUGUAGAUCGUACAACAGAAGCGUUAGAGAACGCGGUUGAUGUAGUGGAACGUCCUCACAUCCCUUGAUCCGCCCCGCGAACAAUCCCGCGAUCAGUCCCACGAUCUUGUACCGAACGGACGGCACCUCCGCGUUCAGCACACGUACAGCUCGACGAUGAUCUCGGCCUUCUUGAUCCAGCAAGAGAGGCGGAGAGGUAGAAGAGUUCUCCGGCAGCGUGACGGCGCUCCGGAGGUUGGUGAUGAUCUUGUCUCAGCAGGGCUCCGCCCGAGCUCCGCAGAAACAAGAUCCAGAGGAAAAACUAUGAGGUAUGUGGUCGGGCAGCCGUGAGAAAGUCAUCUCAAAUCUGCCCUAAAAGCCCCAUAUAUAUAGGAGGAGGGAGGGGGACCUUGCCUUGGGGUCCAAGGGACUCCCAAGGGGUCGGCCGAGCCAAGGGGGGGAGGACCUCCCCCCCCAAACCGAGUUGGACUUGGUUUGGUGGGAGGAGUCCCCCUCCCUUCCCACUUCUUCCCUCUUUUUUUUUUCUUUUCCUUUGAUUUUCUUAUCUUGGCGCAUAGGCUCCCUUGGGGCUGUCCCACCAGCCCACUAAGGGCUGGUGUGUCCCCCAAAAGCCUAUGGGCUUCCCCGGAGUGGGUUGCCCCCCUCCGGUGAACUCCCGGAACCCAUUCGUCAUUCCCGAUACAUUCCCGGUAACUCCGAAAACCUUCCGAUAAUCAAAUGAGGUCAUCCUAUAUAUCAAUCUUCGUUUCCGAACCAUUCCGGAAACCCUCGUGACAUCCGUGAUCUCAUCCGGGACUCCGAACAACAUUCGGUAACCAACCAUAUAACUCAAAUACGCAUAAAACAACGUCGAACCUUAAGUGUGCAGACCCUGCGGGUUCGAGAACUAUGUAGACAUGACCCAAGAGACUCCUCGGUCAAUAUCCAAUAGCGGGACCUGGAUGCCCAUAUUGGAUCCUACAUAUUCUACGAAGAUCUUUAUCGUUUGAACCUCAGUGCCAAGGAUUCGUAUAAUCCCGUAUGUCAUUCCCUUUGUCCUUCGGUAUGUUACUUGCCCGAGAUUCGAUCGUCAGUAUCCGUAUACCUAUUUCAAUCUCGUUUACCGGCAAGUCUCUUUACUCGUUCCGUAAUACAAGAUCCCGCAACUUACACUAAGUUACAUUGCUUGCAAGGCUUGUGUGUGAUGUUGUAUUACCGAGUGGGCCCCGAGAUACCUCUCCGUCACACGGAGUGACAAAUCCCAGUCUUGAUCCAUACUAACUCAACUAACACCUUCGGAGAUACCUGUAGAGCAUCUUUAUAGUCACCCAGUUACGUUGCGACGUUUGAUACACACAAAGCAUUCCUCCGGUGUCAGUGAGUUAUAUGAUCUCAUGGUCAUAGGAAUAAAUACUUGACACGCAGAAAACAGUAGCAACAAAAUGACACGAUCAACAUGCUACGUCUAUUAGUUUGGGUCUAGUCCAUCACGUGAUUCUCCUAAUGACGUGAUCCAGUUAUCAAGCAACAACACCUUGUUCAUAAUCAGAAGACACUGACUAUCAUCGAUCAACUGGCUAGCCAACUAGAGGCAUGCUAGGGACGGUGUUUUGUCUAUGUAUCCACACAUGUAAAUGAGUCUUCAUUCAAUACAAUUAUAGCAUGGAUAAUAAACUAUACAUUUAUUAUUGCCUCUAGGGCAUAAUUCCAACAUGAGUAUGACUCUGACUGGAUCUUCUUUGCCAUGAAUUACAAUGUUUAGUCAGCCCUUGGUCUUUGAAGGUGCUCUGCAUUUAUGUUUUGCGGUCACAGAAAGAGCUAGCGAGAUACCAUCUGUUCGUACUGCUUCAUGAUUGUUUUGAUUGAAGUGCUCACGUUUGAGACUUAUUAUUAUUUUCUCGCUAGUUGAUUAUGCCAUUGAUAUGAGUUUACCGUGAGACCUAGAUGUCAUUUGCUUAUGCGGUUAGCUUGUGAUCUUGCUAAAAUUCUGGAUAUGAGUUAGACAUAGUUGCAACAACAAGAUCAAACAAAGUUCAUAAAAGUUUUUCUUUUGUCUCUUUCAGUUUGUCAACUAAAUUGCUUGAGGACAAGCAAGGUUUUAAGCUUGGGGGAGUUGAUACGUCUCCGUCGUAUCUACUUUUCCGAACUCUUUUGCCCUUGUUUUGGACUCUAAUUUGCAUGAUUUGAAUGGAACUAACCCGGACAAACACUGUUUUCAGCAGAAUUGCCAUGGUGUUGUUUUUGCACAGAAAUAAAAGUUCUCGGAAUGACCUGAAAAUUUACAGAGAAUUUUUGUGGAAUAUAUAGAAAAUACUGGCGCAAGAAUCAGCGGAGGAAGUGGAGCAUGGAGCCCACAAGCCCACCAGGCGCGGGCCCCCUGGCCGCGCCUGGCAGGCUUGUGGGGCCCACAAAACUCCACCGCCUCCAAAUCCAGCUCUAUUUAGUCCGUUUCGCCCGGAAAAAAAAUCAAGGAGAAGAGUUCAUCGCAUUUUACGAUACGGAGGCGCCGCCACCUCCUGUUCUUCAUCUGGAGGGCAGAUCCGGAGUCUGUUCUCGGCUCCGAAGAGGGGAGAUCGUCGCCAUGGUCAUCACCAACCUUCCUUCAUCGCCAAUUCCAUGAUGCUCUUCACCGUUCGUGACUAAUCUCAUCGUAGGCUUGCUGGACGGUGAUGGGUUGGAUGAGAUCUAUCAUGUAAUCGAGUUAGUUUUGACGGGGAUUGAUCCCUAGUAUCCACUAUGUUCUGAGAUUGAUGUUGCUACUACUUUGCCAUGCUUAAUGCUUCUCACUAGGGCCCGAGUGCCAUGAUUUCAGAUCUGAACCUAUUAUUUUGUCGCCAAUAUAUGUGAGUUCUUGAUCCUAUCUUGCAAGUUGUAGUCACCUACUAUGUGUUAUGACCCGGCAACCCCGGAGUGACAAUAGCCGGAACCACUCCCGAAGAUGACCAUAGUAUGAGGAGUUCAUGUAUUCACCAAGUGUUAAUGCGUUGGUCCGGUUCUUUAUUAAAAGGAGAACCUUAAUAUCUCGUAGUUUCCAUUAGGACCCCGCUGCCACGGGAGGGAUGGACAAUAGAUGUCAUGCAAGUUCUUUUUCCUAAGCACGUAUGACUAAAUACGGAAUACAUGCCUACAUUACAUUGACGAACUGGAGCUAGUUACAUAUCUCUCCGUGUUAUAACUGUUGCAUGAUGAACAGCAUCCGGCAUAAUCAUCCAUCACCAAUCCAAUGCCUACGAGUCUUUUACUACUGGUCCUUGCUACGUUACUUUGCUGCUACUGUUGUCACUGCUGCUACUGUUACUCUGUUGCUACUGCUGUUACUUUGCUGCUACUGCUGUCACUUUGCUGCUACUGGUUACUGUUGCUACUGCUCCUAUCAUACUACCUUGCUAUUGAUACUUUGCUGCAGAUACUAAAUCUUUCAGGUGUGGUUGAAUUGACAAUUCAAUUGUUAAUACUUGAGAAUAUUCUUUGGCUUCCCCUUGAGUCGAAUCUAUAAAUUUGGGUUGAAUACUCUACCCUCGAAAACUGUUGCGAUCCCCUAUACUUGUGGGUUAUCACCACCGGUUUCAAAACAUAAAGGGACGGGAAUGAGGAGGGGGUGAGGGAGGGGGGCUAGCCUGUGGCUGGAUAAGUCAUAGUGUGGCGCCUAAGCGCUCGGCACCACACUGUAGAGGGUGCGACGCCUGAGGCUUAGGCGUCGCACUACCUGAGGGUGGGGCCAGCUGCGCCAGCGUGGCCAGGUGUGUGCCGCCGACGUUUUAGGCAUCACACAGUGUAGUGUGGUGCCUAGGUGUCGGAUGCCACACGAAUGGGUCAGUCGGGUGAAUAUUUUUUCAUUCGGGUUCACUUUGUAAGUUCUUUCGCUCCAGAGGUCAAUUUUAUUAAUUUUGCCGGCAUGGAUGGACCUGAUGAAGGAGCACUGCUGUCUACUGUAGUAGUUAUGCAUGGUGAAAUGGUGUGUGCGUUUGUGUUCCGUUUUCAAUUGCCAUCGAGAAUAAGACGGGAUCUAUCGUAUCGAGCUAGCUAGUUAAUAGCUUAUGUGUAGCCCUUGUUGCUUGUACCGUGUGGUGUGCAAGGCUUCUUGUGUUUGUGAUGCGCCUUCCCUACUGUUCUAGUAGUUCCGUCCUGAUGUGCCUUCCCCGUCUUAUCUACAUCUACAUAUUAAUUUGGCGUUUCUGUCUGUGUGACUGCAUGUGUGGUGCCAGCUCUUGAUUUUCCUCUCUGUUAAGUUGGAUUAUAGGACUCGACUCACUGCUUGUAUUCACAUCUCAUGGGGUAUUUAUAUAACAGAGGUACAAGGGGAGUGAGAGAGAGAACGUGUACAACGGCUGGCCGAGCAUGCCGCGCAUGCGAGGAGAGCGUGCGCACGAAGCGCACUUGCUGGUGAUCGAGCCGAAGGAAUCGGUCAAGGCCGUUGGCCCUCUGGCGCUGCUCGUGCAGGUGACUUCCAACAGGCCCCCGUAGCCGAAACGUGGAAUUCCCGAAUGUUGUGGUUGGACCGGAAGUCGAGGAAGAGGCUCGUCGGCAGCCCCUUAGUGAAGAUGUCGGCAAACUAAGAGCUCAUGGGGACAUGAAGAACGCGCACCUCGCCGAGCGACACACGCUCACGAACGAAGUGCAAGUCAAUCUCCACGUGCUUCCUGCGCUGGCGCUGCACCGGGUUCGACGACAUGUACGUGGCACUCACGUUGUCGCAGUACACCACCGUAGCACGCGCGGGAGCCUGGCGGAGUUCGCCAAGCAGUUGGCGCAACCAGACGAUCUCCGCAACGGCGUGCACAACGGCGCGGUACUCUGCCUCCGCGCUAGAGCACGAGAUGGUGUGUUGUCGCUUCGAGGACCACGAAGGUUGCCGCCGAGGAAGACGCAAUACCCGGAGGUGGAGCGACGAGUGUCGGGGCACCCCGCCCAGUCGGCAUCGGAGUAAGCAACGAGCUCGGUGGAGGUGGACUGGUGAAACUGCAAGACAAGAUGUGUGGUGCCACGAAGAUAGCGCAGGAUGCGCUUAAGCAGCUGGUAGUGCGAGUCACGCGGAGCGUGCAUGAAGAGACAACACUGCUGAACACCAUAGGACAAGUCAGGCCGAGUGAGAGUGAUGUACUGGAGGACACCGACGAGGCUUCGAUACAGAGAUGGAUCAUGAAAUAGAGGCCCUGUGUCAGCUGGUAGUUUGCCAUGCGUGUCGAUAGGCGUGGAUAUGGGCUUGCAAUUGAGCAUGCCGGCGCGAUCGAGGAUCUCAAGUGCAUACUACUCCUGGGAGAGGAAUACACCAGUGGUGGUUGAGGUGACAUUGAUGCCGAGGAAGUGGUGCAAUGGGCCAAGAUCCGAGAUGGAGAAUUCUCGAUGGAGCGAAGAGAUGAUGGAGUGGAGCAGAGAGGUGGUGCUGGCGGUGAGGAUGAUAUCAUCAACAUAUAACAGCAGAUAGGCGAGCUGCGGACCACGACGAAGUAUGAACAACGAGGAGUCGGACCGAGACGCCACGAAGCCGAGUUGGAGCAGGUACGUGGUGAACCGGGAGAACCACGCGCGCGGUGCUUGCUUCAGCCCGUAGAGCGAGCGGUUCAAGCGGCAGACGCUCGUGGAGGCGGUGGCGUCCACGAAGCCGGAGGGCUGCUGAGAGUACACCGUCUCGGCGAGGUGACCGUGCAAGAAAGCAUUCUUGACGUCGAGCUGGUGGAUUGGCCAAGAACGCCCGGCGACGAGGCUGAGGACGGUGAGGAUCGUCGCCGGCUUGACCACAUGACUGAACGUCUCGCCGUAGUCGAUGCCGGCCUGCUAGUUGAAGCCAUGGAGCACCCAGCGGGCGUUGUAGCGCGCCAGGGAGGCAUCAGGAUGGUACUUGUGGCGGUAGAUCCACUUGCCGCUGACCACGUUAGAACCUGCAGGACGAGCAACCAAAUCCCAAGUGUUAUUAUGCAAAAGCGCGUUGUAUUCUUCUAACAUUGCAUGGUGCCAGUUCGGAUCUUUCAGAGCUGCGCGGUAUGAGGAGGGAAUGGGGCUGAUCGUGGAGGUGGAGGCUCAGCUGGUGUUUGGGAAGGUGAAACCCAUAUUUUGCACGAGUACGCAUGCCGUGCAUGUUGGCCGGAGGAGCGACGGGAAUAGCCCUGGCCGGCAUGCAGGGAAUGGGGGCGGAUGGCGCGUCUGGCAAGGUGGGCGGGCCCGCGGCGGCAGGAAUGUCGGGUGUGGGGGAAGCGGCGGGUGCAGAUCCCGCGUCGUGGGCGCGUGGGGAUGCUAGGCGCGCAGCGCCAGGAGGCGAGCGAGGGGUGGUGGGUGGGUUGUUGGGCGCGGAUCCCGCGGGAGUUAGGAUAGUUGGUAAGUGGGGGUAGGCGCGAUGGGUGGCUGCGGCGCGAUUGGCGGCGCUGGCACUCGACGAGGUAGGUGCGCACUGCGCAGGUGGGAUUAGGUGGUUGGGAUCUUCUGCGGAUGUGGACGCUCGUGGGAAUGGUGCAGUUGACUCGACAAAUGGAUAGACCCCCUCGUCAAAAACAACAUGCCGGGAGAUGAUCACCUUCCGAGUUUGCAAAUCGAGACAACGGUAUCCCUUGUGCUCGAGUGGAUACCUGAUGAAAACGCAAGGAACAGAACGAGGGGAGAGUUUGUGUUCGGUGGUGGGGUAGACAUUGGGAAAACACAGGCAUCCAAAAACCAGGAGAUGAUCGUAUGUGGGAUGUUUGCCGUACAAGCAAAGGAAGGGCAUGUUGUUCUGGAUGGCGGAGGAAGGGCGCCGGUUGAGAAGGUGUGUGCCGUAUGAAAGCUUCGACCCAAAAGUUGGGGGGGGGAGAUGAGCGUGGAGGAGAAAGGGUGCGGAGCACGUCAUUUGUUGUGCGGAUCAUGCGUCCAACCUUACCGUUUUGCGGCGAGGUGUAUGGGCAUGAAAGGCGCAGAGAGGAGCCACGAGAGGAAAGGAAAUUACGUAGCCCGGUGGUGAGAAACUCGCCGCCGUUAUCGCAUCGUAUGCAUUUGGUGGUUGUAAGAAAUUGGGUGGCUACAUACGCGAAAAACCGGAGCAACGUGACAGACGUAUCAUAUUUGGCGCGCAAAGGAAACGUCCACGAAAAAUGGGUGAAGUCAUCAAGGAUGACGGGGUAAUAGAGGUAACCGGAGGAACUAGCAACAGACGACGUCCAGAGAUCACAGUGAAUAAGAUCAAAGGCAGCAACAAUGCAUGUACGGGAGGAAGGAAAUGGUAAUCUUGAUUGCUUGCCAAAUUGGCAGGAUUCACAAAUAUGGGAACUGAAACUAUUCUAAUUACGUGGUGAUUGAAGAAAAGUUUUUGCUAAAACGGAAAGGGAACUGUUGCUAAGAUCCCUGAGGCGUUGGUGCCACAAGCUGCCGUCGACGGAGAGGAUCUGUUGCACCGGGCCGGAGCUAAAGAAAGGGUACAAAUCUCCAUGGCUACUGGACGUCAUUAGGAUUCGUGGGGUUUUGAGGUCCUUCACAACAAAACCGAAAGGAUUAAACUCAAUGGUGCAAGAAUUUUCACGAGUAAAACGACGGACAUAGAUCAAUUUUUUUAUGAUUGUGGGAGAGACAAGGACGUCGGAGAGAGAGAAAUCGCCGAGGUGAGUGGAACCGGCCGCAACAACGCGGAUCCGAGAGCCAUCACCAACGACAAUGCUAGAAGAAGAACGCGUGAUCUCCUCAAGGAGUAGGCGUGACCGGGCCUGAGCGAAGUUGGGGAACGGAACCUGCAUAGGAAGGACCGUCGCGAGCACGUGGAAUCGACGAAUGAGCCCAUGGAUGAACUGGAGCGUCAGGGUGCGGUCGGUGACGGGCUCCUCGACGUCGGUGAGCGCGGCUGCCAGUGACUGGAGGCGGCGGGCGUAUUCAGCCACAUGCAGGUCACCUUGCACCAUGCUUCGGAAUUCGGCGGAGAGAUGGAUCGCGCGGUCGGCUUGGUUGUCGAGGAAGAAGAGCCGGAGGGUCUGCCAGAUCUGGUACGCCGUGGGGAUGUUCGGAGGAGAGAUGACGACGUCAUACAUCUCAUUAGAAAUCAUGGAGGAUAUCCACAAAAUGAUGGUGAUGUCGUCGUUUCAACACACGGCGUCCUCGUGGAGGGGGUCCCGGUCUUGAUCUACAUGCUGUUGCGCAUUGUACUUGCUGAGGAUGCAAUAGAAGAGGUGGCGCCAUUUGGAGUAGUUACCGGCGGCGAGGUCGAGCUUGAACCGCAGGAAGUGCGUGAUGGUGAGAGGGAGAUCGUCGGCCGACGCCGGUGCCGGCGCCUGCGCACCGACGACGUCGAGGCAGGGGACAAGAUCGCGGCCGACGCCGCAGUGAAGAGGAGCCGCAACAGGGGCUGCCGGGACAGCUGCGGGCGCCGGAGCAUGAGGAAGGAGUCCCGCACCGGGAGCUGCAGGAGCGGGUGGGACGGCAACGAGAGGAGCUAAAGGAGGGAGGUUGGCUGCAGCGUCGAGGUCAGCCGAGCGAGAGCGGCGGAGCAGGCGAUGCAUGGCAGAAGCGUGGUGGUGGGAUCGGAACUGCUCGGGUACCAAGUUGGAUUGUAGGACUCGACUCACUGCUUGUAUUCACAUCUCAUGAAGUAUUUAUAUAACAGAGAUACAAGGGGAGUGAGAGAGAGAACGUGUACAACGGCUGGCCGGGCAUGCCGUGCAUGCGAGGAGAGCGUGUGCACGAAGCGCACUCGCUGGUGAUUGAGCCGAAGGAAUCGGUCAAGGCCAUUGGCCCUCUCGCGCUGCUCGUGCAGGUGACUUCCAACAUGUUGUUCUUGUACAAGUUAAUGGCGAUACCAAAUCAAACUUUCCCCCUCCAGUUAUACCAAUGCUUAUGCGUUAGUGUCCUCUAAUCAGUCCCAAAGUAAUAGACAUCGUAACAAUAUAAUAAGAACUUUGUAACUAUAGAGGCAAUGCAUGGCAAAAUGCCCUCUUAGCAGCUCGGGUAGAUAAAAAAUUAUAUGUCAUGCCAAAGGGACGGUCUCGAUGUUUUUUUCUUCUUCUUUUGGAAACGGAGGAUGGUGCAGAUUUGAUACCAGCCAUUUGAAGCUGUUUUAGUGAAAUUUUCAAUCUGUUUUGGUUGGAGCCAGUUCAAACUAUGUGGAUAUCCGUUUUAACAAUAGGACACGACACGGUCAUGGGAGUCUUUAUUUGUGCAUUCAAGAUUACUGCAAUUCAUUUAUUUUCAUACAAUGUGCAGGCCAGGGAUAUCUCAUCAACAAAAGGGAAUCGUUUCCCAUCCGCGCGCCGGCCGAACCGACGCGCCGGUUGCUCCCUCGCACGCGCGGGCUCUUGCAACAUUUUUUUCACCCGCGCGUUUCUCUGGUCAAUGGAUGCAGCAUUUUUUGUCUAAAUAUGUUGCAACCAGCGUCUUUUUUGCUGCAAGCGUUUUUUUAUUAUUUUUUGUCCCAGUAAAAAAGCUGCAUAUACGUUUGGUUGCAACUCCAGUUCGUCGGAUUUUUCGUUACAAUCGAUGUUUUUUACUUUUUGCUACAAUCGUGUUAAUUUUUGCUACAACCGACAUCAUGUUUUGCUGCAACUGUUUACUAAUAAAAUUGCAUACACGUCACUUAAAUAUUUUUACAACCGGCAUUUGACUUUUGCUACCACGUACCAUCAGCUUUGUUUUUUUGCUACGAUCACGUAGAUAUUUUUUUUGCUACAAAUUUUAUUUUUUAUUGCAACCGUUGAAAAAAUUGCUGCAUUGCAUCGAAAUUUUGCUGCAUAAGGGAAAAAAUGUUGCAUGCGGAACAAACAAUGCGGACGACGCGGGGUUGGCGGAUCCUGCGGCUCGCGCGCGGCCGACCGAAAGUUUGGGCCGGCGCAGAUCAGUCCCCUAAAGAAAAAAGUUAACAUAAGGUUGAUGAAAGUAAAAUUGUGUACGAAAAACAUAGCGAUAUAUAUUGUGGUCCGAGGUUAUAAACUGUUGUCGACACCGAGGACAUUGCUUGUGCAGAAACUACAUAGUUACUCGAAUCCUUUUGAAGCCACUGAUUGCUGUCAUUAUUUCCACAGCCACAUUGCAUAUAAAUUUUUUUAAUUUAAAGUACUGUGGCUGCUGGGAUUCGAGCCCAGGUCUCCACGGCCACAACGGGGAAAAAAUGUUGCAUGCGGAUCCAACAAUGCGGACGACGCGGGGUUGGCGGAUCCUGCGGCUCGCGCGCGGCCGACCGAAAGUUUGGGCCGGCGCAGAUCAGUCCCCUAAAGAAAAAAGUUAACAUAAGGUUGAUGAAAGUAAAAUUGUGUACGAAAAACAUAGCGAUAUAUAUUGUGGUCCGAGGUUAUAAACUGUUGUCGACACCGAGGACAUUGCUUGUGCAGAAACUACAUAGUUACUCGAAUCCUUUUGAAGCCACUGAUUGCUGUCAUUAUUUCCACAGCCACAUUGCAUAUAAAUUUUUUUAAAAAGUACUGUGGCUGCUGGGAUUCGAGCCCAGGUCUCCACGGCCACAACGGGGAAAAAAUGUUGCAUGCGGAUCCAACAAUGCGGACGACGCGGGGUUGGCGGAUCCUGCGGCUCGCGCGCGGCCGACCGAAAGUUUGGGCCGGCGCAGAUCAGUCCCCUAAAGAAAAAAGUUAACAUAAGGUUGAUGAAAGUAAAAUUGUGUACGAAAAACAUAGCGAUAUAUAUUGUGGUCCGAGGUUAUAAACUGUUGUCGACACCGAGGACAUUGCUUGUGCAGAAACUACAUAGUUACUCGAAUCCUUUUGAAGCCACUGAUUGCUGUCAUUAUUUCCACAGCCACAUUGCAUAUAAUUUUUUUUUAAAAGUACUGUGGCUGCUGGGAUUCGAGCCCAGGUCUCCACGGCCACAACGGGGAAAAAAUGUUGCAUGCGGAUCCAACAAUGCGGACGACGCGGGGUUGGCGGAUCCUGCGGCUCGCGCGCGGCCGACCGAAAGUUUGGGCCGGCGCAGAUCAGUCCCCUAAAGAAAAAAGUUAACAUAAGGUUGAUGAAAGUAAAAUUGUGUACGAAAAACAUAGCGAUAUAUAUUGUGGUCCGAGGUUAUAAACUCCGUUUAGUUCCCCCGUACGUACCGGUAGGGACCCUUAGGUUCGACGUUCGUCACGGGCUAAAGUACACGAGUUUACUCGAAUCCUUUUGAAGCCACUGAUUGCUGUCAUUAUUUCCACAGCCACAUUGCAUAUWAAWUUUUUUUAAAAGUUACUGUGGCUGCUGGGAUUCGAGCCCAGGUCUCCACGGCCACAACGGGGAAAAAAUGUUGCAUGCGGAUCCAACAAUGCGGACGACGCGGGGUUGGCGGAUCCUGCGGCUCGCGCGCGGCCGACCGAAAGUUUGGGCCGGCGCAGAUCAGUCCCCUAAAGAAAAAAGUUAACAUAAGGUUGAUGAAAGUAAAAUUGUGUACGAAAAACAUAGCGAUAUAUAUUGUGGUCCGAGGUUAUAAACUGUUGUCGACACCGAGGACAUUGCUUGUGCAGAAACUACAUAGUUACUCGAAUCCUUUUGAAGCCACUGAUUGCUGUCAUUAUUUCCACAGCCACAUUGCAUAUAAAUUUUUUUUAAAAAUACUGUGGCUGCUGGGAUUCGAGCCCAGGUCUCCACGGCCACAACGUGGAAUUCNNNNNNNNNNNNNNNNNNNNNNNNNNNNNNNNNNNNNNNNNNNNNNNNNNNNNNNNNNNNNNNNNNNNNNNNNNNNNNNNNNNNNNNNNNNNNNNNNNNNUAGUCCACCAAGCAUCAGGAUUCGUGUAGUCCGGCUCCGAUGUUAGUCGGUUGGAGCAAAAAGGGUCGCUGGUUGUAGCUUUCGCUUCAACCAGUUCCAGCGAAAACCAACUGCCAAUUUCAAAUCGUCAUCACGUUGCCCCCAGUACAACCAACGAAGCACCCCCGUCACUGCUCCAAAGCAUCAUGAUCACCGGUUGCAAUGCAUCCAACCUCAUCGGUUCCAACACUGCGUCUUAAUUGGUUUUCCCUCCUACGACAUGGGGGUCGCGACAACACUACGAGUGAGCAGCGGAAUGCGUGCCCAUGGUGAGGAGGAAGGGUAUGAAGGAGAAACAAGAGGGGGGGGGAGGAUGUGCGGCGGUGGAUCUCGUUGGGAAUUUUGGAUGCAGCGGUGUUCACUCGCCGGUUUACAACCCCAUGAGGGCGAAGUUGCCGGGGUGAAGGCGGGGAACGGUGGAUCGCGCCGCGAAGUGGAGAAGAAGUGGUGCAUGUGUGUUUGUGUGUGUGGGGGAAGGGGGGGCACACCUAUAUGACGAGCGCAACACGUGUGACAUGCAUGGCGACUAGGCGAAACCUUAAGCCGGUGAGUUGUAAGGGAUCAUUUACCUUUUUUGAGAUAAAGAAAGAGGAAUAGAUGUGGGCUUAAGGGAAAGCCAUGUGGGUGCUAGCACAGCUCACUAUCCAGAGGAGGGCAAACUACACAAACCGAACGCGCAUGAAGACACCAAGCUCAUCUAAAAAAGGACCCUUUUGCGACGAACGUUCGUCAAGACGACCCUUUUGCGACGAACGUUCGUCAGGACGAGCUGACAUUUGCGAAUGAUUUCGCUGACAUUUGUAGUUAUAGUGGACGGGAAUUUUUGUCACAGAAGUCAUUUUUUAUUUAAAACUACCAUGGUUUGAUCUUGUCUUAAAACUAAAACCGUCAUAAGAUGGGUUUGUUUGCCACGCUUCUCCCAGAUAACGGUUGCUAUAUACUAGGAUUUUCGUUCGAGAGCGGAAGAAAUCGAUCGAUGGGUCGACCAAAUUUCCCCAAUAUUCCCCUCGAACAAAUAAGUUUCCCAAAUAUGUCCAAAUCCCUAGCGGCGGCCGCUGGUCUCUCCGGUCUCCACUCCACCCGCGCUCGCCGGCGCUGCCAGCCCGCCACCCCUUGACCUCGACGGGCCACGGCUCCGCCUGCCUACCUGCCCACGCCGCCGCUCGUCUCUCCACCCGUGCACGCCGGCCCCGCCGCUCCCUGCCUCCCUGUUCGGCUGCUCAGGGGAGGAGGCAGAGGAAGCGGCCAGCCGCACACGGUCAGGCGACAGAGGCAGUUUCCAGCAGCAGCAGCAGGUCUUUCCCCCCUGCACUUCCCGCUCUUCUAUGUGUACAAUCUUUCUGUGCCACACAGCCACACCUUGUCUGAAUUUCAUGGCUUGUAAGGUGUAAUAGUAGAAAACACCACGGAAGCCUAAUCCCGAAGUUUUUGCUUUCGUCGCACAAAUGUAGUAGUGUCUACUUCAAUUUUGUGGAAUUACUAUCUGCUUUGAUGUUGUAUUGCUGCGGUCUCGUGGAGUACCUACUUUGAUUUGAUCUGCAAUACACCUUUUUGAAUUGUGGGUAGCUGCCUAUGGGUGACGGGUGACGANNNNNNNNNNNNNNNNNNNNNNNNNNNNNNNNNNNNNNNNNNNNNNNNNNNNNNNNNNNNNNNNNNNNNNNNNNNNNNNNNNNNNNNNNNNNNNNNNNNNACCAAGGUGGUGUCGGCGACGGAACGGCGUGGGCGAUCGACGGUGAUGAGGACGGGGACAAGAAGGCACCAAGUAAACCACACCUACACAUAUGCAAACUAAGAAGUUAAUUUAAGCUCAAAUUGCAUAUAAAUCAAAUAAAACUCUUACAUAAUUACUCCCAAACUAAAACCCACAAAUCACUAUAUUUAUAGAGCAUGAAAUGAGCUAAACUAGCGAUUAGAUGAAAGGGUGUAGUUGCUAACCUUUUAGAACACUUGGAUAGAUGGGAUGCCUUCAAUCUUGACAAAUCUUUGUAAAAAUGGAGGAUUAACUCUAGUUUGGGGACGGAAAUGGAGAGGAGAGAAAUAUUGAAUUCGGGCUGGAAGAGGAGAGCUUUAUAUAGAGAGAAGCCUUUAGUCCCGGUUGGUAUCACCAACGGGACUAAAUUUGUAGUCCCSGGUUGGUGAUACCAACCGGGACUAAAGCCCCCAUUUGAACCGGGACUAAAGAUUGUCGUGACCCCCGUCCACUCCUAGNNNNNNNNNNNNNNNNNNNNNNNNNNNNNNNNNNNNNNNNNNNNNNNNNNNNNNNNNNNNNNNNNNNNNNNNNNNNNNNNNNNNNNNNNNNNNNNNNNNNUAAAAAAAUUUAUAUGCAAUGUGGCUGUGGAAAUAAUGACAGCAAUCAGUGGCUUCAAAAGGAUUCGAGUAACUAUGUAGUUUCUGCACAAGCAAUGUCCUCGGUGUCGACAACAGUUUAUAACCUCGGACCACAAUAUAUAUCGCUAUGUUUUUCGUACACAAUUUUACUUUCAUCAACCUUAUGUUAACUUUUUCUUUAGGGGACUGAUCUGCGCCGGCCCAAACUUUCGGUCGGCCGCGCGCGAGCCGCAGGAUCCGCCAACCCCGCGUCGUCCGCAUUGUUGGAUCCGCAUGCAACAUUUUUUCCCCGUUGUGGCCGUGGAGACCUGGGCUCGAAUCCCAGCAGCCACAGUACUUUUUAAAAAAAUUUAUAUGCAAUGUGGCUGUGGAAAUAAUGACAGCAAUCAGUGGCUUCAAAAGGAUUCGAGUAACUAUGUAGUUUCUGCACAAGCAAUGUCCUCGGUGUCGACAACAGUUUAUAACCUCGGACCACAAUAUAUAUCGCUAUGUUUUUCGUACACAAUUUUACUUUCAUCAACCUUAUGUUAACUUUUUUCUUUAGGGGACUGAUCUGCGCCGGCCCAAACUUUCGGUCGGCCGCGCGCGAGCCGCAGGAUCCGCCAACCCCGCGUCGUCCGCAUUGUUGGAUCCGCAUGCAACAUUUUUCCCCGUUGUGGCCGUGGAGACCUGGGCUCGAAUCCCAGCAGCCACAGUACUUUWAAAAUUAUAUGCAAUGUGGCUGUGGAAAUAAUGACAGCAAUCAGUGGCUUCAAAAGGAUUCGAGUAACUAUGUAGNNNNNNNNNNNNNNNNNNNNNNNNNNNNNNNNNNNNNNNNNNNNNNNNNNNNNNNNNNNNNNNNNNNNNNNNNNNNNNNNNNNNNNNNNNNNNNNNNNNNCGCGAAAAUGGCUUAUGUGGCUAUAUAUGAGUGGAGCUUUCUCCAGAUAUUUGUUUGCUUCAGGCUUCAUUCGCGAGGAGUGGUGAGCGAGCUAGUGGCGACCGAUUGAUGGACAAAAUGAAGUUGACAUGCCUAAAUCACGCCUACCGUGUAUAGUGGAUUGCAAAUUAUGCCCGGGUCAUAUUCAUCUUCUGGUCCAUGAGUUUUGAUUCGACAGAUUGGUUGGCUGCUUCACCACCAUGUACAGGGGCGGGUCCAAAGAAUGGAUAAGCACAAGCGCAAUGAUGCUCCGAUUCUCCACUCAUUUCUGAACAAUUUUUUUGAGGAAAAGAAUCUUCUAAAAUUCAUGAUUUUUUCAUAUUUGUGAUUUUUUGAAAAAUUCUUAACCAUUUAAAAAUUCAUGAAGAUAUUUUGAACUCAUGGACAUUUUAAAAUUCGUAAGUAUUUUUCUAUAUUAGUGAUAUUUUUACGAUUCCUUUCUUAAUUUUCAAGUGUUUUUUUAWUUUACAUUAUCAGAGUGAUGAUUACGUUCAGCUCCUUUGUAGCCCUUACCAAAACGAAAGCUAAACAACACACAUGAGGAGACGUAACACAAAGAGCAUCAUAUUACCGUCGCGACAACCUGUAAAUGGGCACAAACAAACUGAAUGUGCACAAUAGAAGCUUAUAUAGGUGUGCCUACUAGCGAACCCCUUCUCCUCCUUCAAACCUCGGCGCACCAACAACCAANNNNNNNNNNNNNNNNNNNNNNNNNNNNNNNNNNNNNNNNNNNNNNNNNNNNNNNNNNNNNNNNNNNNNNNNNNNNNNNNNNNNNNNNNNNNNNNNNNNNAGUGGUAAAAAUAGAUCAUUAAUUGAGAUAACGGUUUUGGGAGAUAAAUCUUUUUUAAAAUACAAAAUCAAAAUAAUACGUAAUAAUGUCAUGUUGCAUGCAUGCAAAAAUGGAUGGAAGGGAGCCGCCGCAUGGGAAGACUAAUAUGUGGCGCCCCUCCCUAGUGAAGUCAUUGAUUUAAUGUUGGAUGUGCUUUACAGAAAAUAAGAUUCAUGAACACUAGCAUUCAGAACAUAUUUAUAAAAGACACCCGAGUGAGAUACUGAAAAAUUUGCUACCGACGGGGGUCGAACCCCAGUCUGCAAGGCUACUGCCCGGUCCUCACUGGAUGUCUUUUGAAAAGUACCAAUCCGAUUUAGAUUAUUCUAAAUUACUCUGUUUAUAUUGGUGUUUAUUUUGAUCAACAGGAACCCAAAGGGGGAGUGUGGAGGAAAAGGAGAGUGAGGUGAGGCGAAUCUACAAACUACUUCCUCCCUGGAUAACUUGAGCAUACCGGAGGCCUGAGGUACGUAGAAAUAGAUUCGGGCGGAUCAGAUUCAUAAUUGGCACACAUGAAAAACUUCAUGUCCAACCAAUCUGAAAAAUCCGUCACCUCCUUCACCUUGCAGAGAUCCUNNNNNNNNNNNNNNNNNNNNNNNNNNNNNNNNNNNNNNNNNNNNNNNNNNNNNNNNNNNNNNNNNNNNNNNNNNNNNNNNNNNNNNNNNNNNNNNNNNNNAAAGUACUGUGGCUGCUGGGAUUCGAGCCCAGGUCUCCACGGCCACAACGUGGAAUUCUUACCACUAAACUACAGCCACUUUCUGUUCAUUUUAAACAACAUCCUCUCCUUAUUAUGAAGGCAGAUGCACAGAAAACGAGAAUGGCAACGGAUUUAAGGUUGCAAACACGGAACUGCUGGUUAUCACUGGCUAGACGGCUUUUUUUAUAUCGGAAGCUGUCAAAGCCAAGAGUCAUCCCUUAAACUUUGGCUUAUUCAUUUUAUAAGAAAAAUCAAAUCAAAAACCUAAACAAGAAUAUUUACUUUCAUAAAAGGGAGGCACGUUGAUUUGGCCAACGAAACCACCUUGAUUGGACUAAUCAAAAUAAAGAAUCGUAUGGAUUAGGCUUCCAAAAACAAGGACGUGCCUUGAUUUGGUUUCCAAAAAAAAGAUUGUCUUGCUUAGUCUUCAAAAAACAAGAAUAUUUACUCCCAUAGAAGGGAAGUGCGUAGAUUUCACUACCAAAGAAGGAAUCGUCUUGAUUUGGUUAUCAAAAAUAAAGAAUCGCCUUGAUUAGGCUUCCAGAAACAAAGACGCGCCUUGAUUUGGGUUCCAAAAAAGAAGAGGUGCCUGUGACGACACCAGUACCCACAGAACCUCCGAUGACGGCGCCGUCCCACGUGCUCGGUCGAACCGAGGAACCUCCGAUGACGGCGCCGUCCCACGUGCUCCCGAGUUCCUCAACGGAUUGAGUCCCAACGGUCUGCCUCCGCAUGCACUUAAAUUGAAGUAGAAAUGCCCUGCGAUGCUUCUCAGGAACAUUGAUCCGGCUAACAGACUGUGUAACGUGACGAGGCUUGUGGUCCGAGAUUUUGGAAGGAACGCCAUUGAUGCAGAAAUCAUGAUUGGACAACACGCGGGUAGGAGGGUCUUCCUUCCUCGUAUACACCUAUGCCAGUCUAACAACACAUGUUUUCAUGCAAGGUCAAGAGGAAGCAAUUUUUUGUAAGGAUUAGCUUUUCUAUGACGAUUAACAAGGCCCAAUAGCAGACCAUCAUGAUUGUCAACGUGUACCUACCUAAUUCGGCAUUCUCUCAUGGUCAACUCCAUACCUCAUUGUCUCGGGCCAUCGCAAAGAGAAAAAUAAAAAUCCUCAUUGAGAAGAAGAAGGCCAAGGAGAAGGGCAAGAAGCAAAACAAUAAAUCAAAGAAGCAAAAAGGACCUACGGUGUCCUUAUAGACCUCGAUGAAGAACAUCGUCUAUAAGGAAGUCCUUAGAGGCUGAAGUCCCCACUUAAUAAACUUGUGUAGCUUGCAUUGUAUCGCCAUGCGAAACUGUUAUUGGUUGUAGGUACAUUUUAGACUCCUAUUUUAUACCAUAGAGGUGAAUUUCAGUAUUAUAGUGUUUGACAUACCACAUAUUGGCACUAAUUUCAAUAGUACUAUUUCCCGCGGGUGUGAUAAAAUAACUAUCCCAUGUAUUUAUGAAAAGGCAUUAUGUGCGUGAUAUUGGUUGAAUGCUCUUGUAGAUUACCAUUUUUCAAGGUAGAUCUCAUGUACUUUUGUUUGAACUUUCCAUCUACCAAUGAUCUUUAUACUGUAACAUACUAACCUUCAGCUUAUCACCCCAUUUAUAUUUUUUUAAAUGAUUUGUGGACGAAAGCCCAAUGAGUGUAAGAAGAAAAACUAUUUGGAAUUAUGAAUGCGUUCAUGGCUCCAAGCAACAACUGGUUUAUAGGUAUGGUACAUUAUUUAAUUUUGUUACUUUUAGUUCUGAUAUAUGAACUUGAAAUCCAUCACCUGAAUGAUGUUCCAGCAAGAGAGAUAUUUUUUACUUGACACACUUAUCAAGUAAGGGGUAAAUUUGAUUUGGUACAGAAAAGUACAGAAGGUUUAAAUGGUUACAAACUUAUGUUGUGGAAAAUACAAUAACUAAAAUUUUUAGGAAAUUGCAGGGAUGUGUCUGACUAUUUUGUUUUUUAUUUUAUGUUCUGGUGGAACGGUAAAGAACUGGUCGAGCCGGUUGCGCGGUGAGGAUUGUCGGUUACACAUUUUAAGACCUUUCACGUGAAAUAUUCGUGUUAACUACAUAUAUUGCUUGUGCAUAAUGAUUAUGAGUUGAUGAAACACUUUUUAUUAUUCUUGCUAAAACAUCGUGGGAAUGAAGCUAAAGAGAACUUUUCUGACAUUGUGCGAGAAUUUCUUAAGCGCAUCAAAUAGAUCUUAAUAAUUUAUAAUAUAUUUUUUGUUGGAUCAUCGCUUAUUCUUUUUACACAGACACAUCGUUAAUUUGUUUUUUGUUAUCAAUUUACAUUGCUGGUUAGGUGGACUUGAAUUAUUAAGCAAUUGUGUAUGUGUUAUAUUUUCUUUACGUGAUAUUUAACAUGCAUUAUCUUUAUAUAACUCCUGUAAAAUAUUUGAAAAUCCCGUGACAACGCACAUGCAUUCUACUAGUCAUUAUGUGCAUCUUCCUCCCACCUAUUUUGUGUAGGCCCAUUGCAACACAGCCCAGAUGGGCUGGUAGGACGGGAACUCAAGGAAUUUUCUCAAGAAGAUUGCUGAGUUCCACUGUCCGAGAACUCGGCAAUCAUCUGGGCAGUGCGUCCGAUUCAACGUUUCCUAUUUGGCGCCACAUGUGUCGGUUAAUGCGCAUUGUUUUUAAUUCACGGUUGUGGCAUUCGUAAGUGGACUGGCUCAUCUAGGUGUCGGUUGACGAUUUUUUUUGAAAAUUUUGUGAACUUUUAUAAAAAUCGAUGAACUUUUUUUGAAUUUCAAUAAAUAUUCUUUAAGAUUGAUGUACUUUUCGCUGAAAAUCGAUGAACCUUUUCUGAAAUAAUAAAAUUCUAUGAACAUUUUUGAAUAUCGAUAAACUUUUUUGAAAUUUGAUGAACAUAUUUUGGAAAAUGGAUGAAUUUUUGUCAAAAUUGAUGAACUUUCUUAAGAUUUAUGAUUGUUUUUUCAGUACAAUGAACUUUUUUGAAAAAUACCUGAAUUGUUUAAGAAAGUAUGAUUUUUUUUCAAAUUUAAUGAAAAUAUAAAAAAAAUUAAUGAACUUUUUCCAUAUUAGAUGAAUUUUAUUUUCAAUUUUAUUGAUUUUGUUUUCAAAUUGAUGAACUUUUUUCAAAAUUGAUGAACGUUUUUUAAAGAUAUGAACUUUUUUUCAAAUGAAUGAACCUUUUUCUUUAA